UCUUUUUUUUGUAUAAUAAGGAGACACUUCCUUGCGUGCGAAGAUAUAGCUGGUGGGUCCGACCUGUCAGCGGGGGGGAACGUUUUUUGCGGAAUACAGAGGCUGUUCUGGUGGGUCCUAGAUGUCAGCUGCAGGAAUCAUUAGUUUGCGCAUAAUAAGGAGGCAUUUCCUUGUGUGCAGCCAUGGACCCAGCUGUCACCCUCUCCACGUACAGUCCAUGUCCGAUGGAAGUCGUUCCAUGACCAUGUUGACCACUCCGCGCCGAGAGCACCAGGGUGGUGGACGACGGCGAGGCCUAGGAAGGGGACGACGCGGAGCCGGGGAAGACGCGGCAGUGGAUGCCCACGCGGAGAGGAGUACGAGGGUUCACUUGUUCGGCUGCGGUGUGAGGCUGUCGUCGCCACAGGGCCUGGCUAGCGGUGGGAGUAGUAGGGGGCGGUGAGGCCUCAACGGCAGUACAGCCGGCCACUGGAGGCAAGAGCAGGCGGUCUCGCCGGCGCUGGUUUGGGCGGCUGGUGCAAGAAGAGCAGCACUUGAAGAAUCAGCAGGACCGUUUGAUUCAAAUCCAACGGUUACUGCUACUACAAUCGUUUGUUGACUAAGUUGGCAAGCCCUGCGUACGCGUCAACUUAGUAGGCCCACAGGUCAGCCUCCCAACCGGUGCGCCCCAGAUGUUAGUGGAAGGAAUCAUUUUUUCGUGUAAUAAGGAGGCAGUUGAUUGUGUGCGGCCGGGCCAGCGGAGGGAGUAGGGUGGGCCGGGGAAGCCUGUGCGGCAUCACAGCGGGCCAGAAGAGGAGGGAGCAGGCAGUCCCGCCAGCACUAGUUUAGGCGACUGGAGCAGGAAGAUCAGAGAUUGAAAAAGCACGUUGGCCGUUGCAUGGACAUCCAACAGUCACUGCUGCUAGAAUCGUGUGUUGACUAACAAAGCCUUGCGCAAACAAGUCAGCCUCGAAAUUUGUGGCGUGUACAACCCAUUUGCUAUUAUUUUUAUAAUUUUUACUCAUUUUCUAAUUCAUACGGAAAUUAUUGCAGCCCGUUUUCCAUUUUUAGAAUUGCUGCCCAUUUUCUGGUCAUUACCAGGGUUAAAAAAUUAAUUAAAUAUGUGCGAAAUUUUGAAAAUUCGCAAAUUUUGGCUGGGGAACAAAAUAUUCUUAAUCCAAAAAUUACUAAUCAUACAAAAACAAAUUUAAAAAUAAAUUAGUACUAUGUCAUGUUAAAUCCAAUGAAAUACUAUAAAAUAUCAGUGAAGAACAAAAACAAAAAAAGAAACUAAUAUCUCAUUUGCUAUAAUUUUUUGGGAAUUUUCAACCGCUUUGAUAUUACUUUUAACAGACAUUGACCAUACUCUUUGGCCAGGCCGGAAUGCAUCCCUCCUCGUCUUGAAAGAUUUGCAGCCCAGUAAGUCAAAGAAAAUAAAUAGGCCUAGCUUGGGUAUUCUUCAAAAAGAAAUACUGGGCCACCUAUUUUCCCAAAGAAAAACCUGCUAGGCUGGUCAUGUUGUUAGACGGGUCAUAGAGACCGCACAACCCAGUUUAUAGCCUGCUCCUCCGAAUUACUACUCAAAAAAAAGUUGUGCAAUUCUAUCGUUAAUUGACUAUACGUUGAAAAUGAUGUGGGUCCCGGAUAUCAGCAGGGUGGACUAGAGUAAAAAAACAAGGGGUGCAUCUGAGUAGUAAAAGAGGCGCUUGCUUGUGUUCGGGAGUGGACCUGGUGGGUCCGUACUGUCAUACUCACAACUACAGUUCUCUCCCGAUUCACUAUGUUGACAGGGAGAGUUUCGAAAAAAAACUACGUUGACAGGGCCGGACGGCGGCGCCGCGGCGAGCGCACCAAUGCGGAGGAUAAAGUUUUGUCGCCUAUGUGCUGGGCUGGGUUGGACAUUCUUAUUGAAAAAUAAAAAUGGAUCGGAACUAUUUACGAUGUUGACUACGAUUUGCAUGGGUCCGCUGGUGGCAGGAAGAAAAUGCUGGGAGAAAGAAGACCGGUCGCUAUCUUUGCCUAAGAAUAAUAUCAACUGAAUGUAACGACACUAUCAUAGGAAAUAAUAUCCUCCUGAUAAAUCAUGAAUUUAAAUAACUGGUGCAUGAGCAUUUAGCUUUAUUUAUUUAUUUACUUAUUUAUGUUUACGGGACCAUGAGCAUUUACCUGGGCCGGAUUCAUGUGAGAGCCUCCCUUCCAGUUAAUUAUGGGCUCCUCUAUUGGGCCUUCAUCAGUGGGCUGCAUGUUAUCAACAAGUGGAAAAUAUGUUUCGUACGAAAAAUAGUAUGCGUUACAUACGGUACGGGGCACUAAGGAUCGAACCGUGCAACGACUUCCAAAACAUUGUGUUUGUCGUUCUAACAACACAUUUAUUCAACCAACAGAUGAAAUAUACUACUGAUUGUACAUUGAAAACAGCAGCAGCAGCAACCAGGGCUGGGGCUGCAACAGAAGCAGUAAGCAAACUAGAAGAGUGAAGACGCAGCUCUCUCUUCCAAACCAAACAUCGGCCAUUAUUACAAAAGGGCUACCAAAAAAGAACAAGUGUAUGCAUCAAACUAAAUAAAGAUCCUACUACACCAAGUAUACGCAUCUAACUAACUGGCUCAGUUAGAUGUUACUAUUUAUUAAGCUGUGGAGAUUGGCUGACGGCUUGUAUCAGAUGGGUGCCUGACGGGGGAAACUCCAGCCAGCAGGUCGAAGUCUAAUACUUGCAACCCUCUCUCCUACUUUGGGCUGCAGAGCGUGGCAGCACAUAUCAGGGUAUGGUGCAUGCAGAGACGCAUGGUAUGCUGUGUACACACAGUUUUGCCUGAUGAACGAAACCAUGCUGCCAUCAUGAUCCUUGCCGUCGGUUAUCUCCUGGUUAAUCGGAUAAUUCAGUCCGACAAACAGAGAGCGUGUACCAAGGCUACUUACCAGCCUCCAGUCAAAAAUUCCUAAAGGCCCAGAGAAGCUGGGAUCCUGCUCAAAGACCUUGCAGUGAUUGUGAUUGUAUUCCGUGAAACAACACGUCCAGUAUGUGCGAACGAUCAUCAAUCGUUCGCCGUCGUCUAAUCGAGCCAGGAACCACCUGCAACUACCAUGCUACUUUUCUUUGAAAGGUUUUGGGAUUAGGAAGGGUAGGGACACCAGACGGCCUACAACAUCAUAUCAAGUUGGAGUCAAAUAAAUAAGGGCUCUUGAUGUAGUCAAUCUUAAGAACAGCAUGUUAUGAGCAUGAAAAAAAUUCAGUAAAUGUUGACAGUAAUAUAAGCAAGCCAUCAUGAUAUCAUAGGAAAGUAACAUACUGCUGUAACAGCCGAUUGUAGCGAUGACUGGAGUAGGCUAGCAAUAUGUCCAGCCAUAGGAGUCGACAGCGUAAAUGAAGCCCUUGUGUUCAAUGGCAUCAGAGAACCAUGGAGGAUGUAUGAUCCUGUGAUGGACGUGUCGAUUUAUCCACUUACAGCAGUGACCUAUCAGAUAGGCGGGAUCGCGGUUGAAGAACGCAAUUAUCCUGAAGUCUUUAUAAUUCGUAGAUCUUGUGGGCACUUGGCAGAUUACAACCUUGAGCAAAUAAAACUUGGUAUCAUGUUGGCUAAUGUAAGAUUCCGAGUAUUCUGGGCCGCGGUGCCAAAGCAGUGCAGUGUUAAUCAAAGGAAGGGGGAUCAAUCGCCAGGUGUAGACCUCCAUGAGCAUCCAGCUGCCGCGAUCGUCGACAAGCACCAUCCAAGAUGUGUUCAUGCCGACCCAAUACAUAUCGUUAACGUAGUUGAGGGUGAUGGGGAUCGGAUCACGGUCAAGGGGAUUGAUGCUCGCCACCCUACAAUCGUUAUGUUGCGUGACACGCCAUUUCUGAAGAUCAGGCGGCAUCAGCAAGCACGGAGUUGGCUUAAAAAGCUCCGGCCUAAGGGCUUUGAGUAAACGGUACAUCCCCGACGAGCAUGCGGCGAGCGGCAUGGUACUUAGAUUGUCCACAUGCAAAACAAUGAGCUUGAUUACCUUUGUGGGCAGCGAAUUCCAGCCACUCUUUCGGCGAACGCUGCUCGGUUCUGCCAUUAUUAGUGCUUGGGUUUCGAACGAGGGGGAGGCGCCUUAGCGGGGAUGGAAGAUUGGACGAGAUUAUGUGCGGACAAAGAUGGAAAAGCGAAUAUGUGCUGCGGGAAGUGGACAGGUGAUGAUGACUACAGCACGCCGCUUGACUUACGAGACACAUACCAGCAGCGUAGGGUCAUAUCGACGCUAGACAACUUGCUUGAGUGAUCACAGUACUGGUACUCCCUACAGUACCUACUACUAUGCCCUAACUUGCUUGAGUAGAGUAGUAGAGUAGGACUCUGCUCUACUACUAGCACUGGAGGAGUAGUAUAUUCUAAUCUAAAAUAGUUACAAACUUCAAUGCCUGAGCGUGGAACGACUACAAACCGUGCUCAAAGACCGUGUCUACUUGGUGCUGGAAUUAUAUGCAAAAAAAUAGCAAGAUGCCCGUGCAUUGCACGGCACACCAUCAUCACCAACUUGGUUUUUUCUCUACUCCUAUAAAAGACUCAGUUGGUGAUGAUGGAGGCGAGGAGGCGUGUUCAGCCGGGCAUGCAGCGGACGGUGCAGUACUAUUAGAUUUGUUAUAAAAAACAAAGAAGAGUAGUAGAGAUAGAGAUAAGAGUAGAGAUAGAGACUUAGGGAGGAGCACGAGGUUGUGGGAGAUAAGGAUGAACGAGGCAAGGCCUUAUCUGUAAAUGUGGAGAGAGGUGCGGGUAUCUUUUGUAAAAUUGUCAUAGUUGGAUUUCUAUCCGUCAGAUAUAGAUCGGACGGUCUAUAUUACAAGAUGGCAGGCACACCAUCAUCACCUACUCGGUUUUCUAUAAGAGUAGAUAUAGAUAGAUAGAGACUAGGGAGUACUAGUAAGUACACCAUCUACUGCUUCGUGUGCUACUCCUGCGCUCCAUUCGGCGGCCGCAACGUCCCUAUAGCCACUCUCUCCUACGCUCCAUUUGACGGGCGCUAUUGAAAUUUGGGGAGCGCACUCUCGCGACUGCUGGCAGCCACGACUUUACUGACGACGACUUCUUCCCCGACCUUGGCAACCUCUUCCUCAACGACAUGGGCGACAACCUCAAUACCAACGGUGCUGCUCCCGUUGCACCGUAUGUGUUUCUGUCCUUCCUGUUCGAAAUCGUGGUAGAAUUCAUGUUUCUACUCUGUAUCCUACUACUAUGCUAGUCCACAUGAUUAGUUUCAUCUCUGUUAUAGCCGUCAUGAUUUAUUUUGUGCUUAUUCGGAUUAAAUAUCGUAGUAACUUGCUCAUAUAUUCAACUGGCGCAAUAUCCCCUAUAGCCACUCCCGUUUCAUGGACGGACUGGUCGAUGCCUCCAAGGAGCCCUUCGUCUACUGCUAUGAGUGCCUGAUGCCGUUUUGGGGCUCGCCUGCGGACAUGGUGCAUCACCUCACAGAUGCGUGCAGUGAUCACUACUGGCCCUUGGCGGAGAACAUCAACUACGAGACAUGCUACCUGUUCACCAUGUCGGAGUCGCUAGAGGAUCACCACCGCCUGCUAGUCUCGGAGGAGGACGGCAGUGUCUUCCUCUUGAUCCUGGACACCGGCGAGGCCUGCGCAGGCCGCCGCCCCGUCUCUGUAGUGUGUGUCAGGGGCGACGCCGCUGACGCUAACACUGACACGAGGCCGAUGUAUGGGUGUGUGCUCAGUGUUACUACCCCUCCAGGUCACGUGGGCGGUGACUCCGGCCUCAUCGAACGGACUUGGACUCUGCGGAGCUGGGACUUUCCCGCCGAUGUGGACUUGGAAAACCCAUGGUCUCCUUUACCCGCCAACACGGUGCACGGGGACUCCAAGGAGGUUCACUUGGACAUACGCAUUACCAAUUUAAAUGUUGAUCAUUAGUCUUCGCUCAAUGUAAUCCGCUGUUUAAGCAUGUGGAGACUUCCAUGCAUGAUCUUUCUCUAUUUGAGUAUUGUGCAUGAAUAAAAGUGUAUCCGUUUAUGGUUUAGUCUAGAAUCUUCCAUGUAUGAACUUUUACUACAGUACUGGUGAAAGACUUACUAUGAACCAUUUCUUACAUCUCCUCUACCCCUUCCAAGUCAUCCUGAUUUAAUCCCUCCGUCGAGGUGUAUAAGGGCAUGGUUAAUACUUAAUAGUAUAGCCAACGGUUGACUACAAGAAAGUGCCAUGUCAUCUGUAAACAACAUGUAUAACAAUCGAUACUCAAAAACUAAUUCUUAAAGCCAACGGUGCUGCUCCUGUUGCACCGUAUGUGCCUCUGUCCUUCCUGUUUGAAAUCGUGGUAGAAUUCAUAUUUCUACUAUGUAUCCUACUACUAUGCUAGUCCACAUGAUUAGUUUCAUCUCUGUUAUAGCCGUCAUGAUUUAUUUUGUGCUUAUUCGGAUUAAAUUUCAUAGUAACUUGCUCAUAUAUUCAACUGGCGCAACGUCCCCUACAGCCACUCCCGUUUCAUGGGCGGCCGGGUCGAUGCCUCCAAGGAGCCCUUCGUCUAUUGCUAUGAGUGCCCGAUGCCGUUUUGGGGCUCGCCGGCGGACAUGGUGCAUCACCUCAUGGAUGCGUGCAGCGGUCACUACUGGCCCUUGGCGGAGAACAUCAAGUACGAGGCGUGUUACCCGUUCACCAUGCCGGAGUCGCUAGAGGAUCACCGUCGCCUGCUAGUCUCGGAGGAGGACAACAGCGUCUUCCUCUUGAUCGUGGGCACCGGCGAGGCCCGUGUAGGCCGCCGCCCCGUCUCUGUAGUGUGCAUCAGGGGCGACGCCGCUGACGCUGACACUGACAUGAGGCUGGUGUACGGGUGCAUGCUCACUGUUACUACCCCUCAGAGGUACGUGGGCGGCGACACCGGGUCCAUCAUGCUGACUAGGACUGUGUAGAGUUGGGACCUUCCCGCCGAUGUGGACAUGGAAGACGCAUGGUAUGAUUUACCCCGCAACACGGUGCACGGGGACUCCAAGGAGGUUCAUUUGGACAUAUGCAUUACCAAGUUAAAUGUUGAUCAUUAGUCUUCGCUCAAUAGAAAUCUGUUGUCUAAGCAUGUGGAGACUUCCAUGCAUGAUCUUUCUCUAUUGGAGUAUCGCGCAUGAAUAAAAGUGUAUCCAUUUAUGGUUUAGUCUAGAAUCUUCCAUGUAUGAAUUUUUACUAUAGUACUGGUGAAAGACUUACGAUGAACCAUUUCUUACAUCUCCUCUGCCCCCCUUCCAAGUCAUCCUGAUUUAAUCCCUCCGUCUAGGUGUAUAAGGGCAUGGUUAAUACUUAAUAGUAUAGCCAACUGUUGACUAUAAGAAAGUGCCAUGUCAUCUGUAGCCAACAUGUAUAACAAUCGAUACUCAAAAACUAAUUCUUAAAGAUCAUUUCUUGCAAAGCACAAUAAGUGUUAUUUCUUCACAAGUUUUGGAUGCAGGUUGAACAGUUGAAUGCUUUUGUUUGCAAAAGAUACCUUUUUAUCUAUUUCACCCGAAUGUUUCUGAGCUCUAGAGAUGAAAUAAUAUCCGAGAAACCUAUAAAUACCCGUUACACAUGAGAUGACCCCAACAUCCUUUGUCAAAAUAAACAACUCCCCGGUCAAUGCAUUUCACUCUUCCGUGCAACGCACGGGGACCUUACUAUAGAUUAGUAUGACCAAAACUUGAACUAACAUUAUAUAUAGUACGAUAAAUGUUGAUGCAUGUCAAACAAAAUUAUAUAAUUGAAAACUAUGUUCAAAUACGAAACCAACGAUAUAGUUUUUGUUGACAUCCACUAACAUUUUGUCAGUUAAAUCUUCAGUCAAAUUCAAUGGGGGACUAAUAAACCACGACCGAUGUAGUACAAGUGUAGAGGGUGGCACUGCAUGGGAGUCUCACCCCGCUUGUGGCGCGGUAGUAAAGUCGUCAUAUCACAAAACCCAACCACUGCCAGUAAUAUGUGGCCUGGUAAAAUAAACGGACAAGCAACCAUCACAUCCCUCCAUCUUUUUGCAUUUCAUCUCUCUACAUUUACUUUCUCCAGUUCAUCUUGCACACUCGAUCCCUGGCUACUCCUAGUAUCCCUAGCUACUACUCCUAGGGCUAGUUCUUUUGGCGGCUUAAAAAAUAAGCCGUCUCUUCCCCAGCUUUUCCCAUAAGACUAGUCACAGCGGAGAGUAACAUUAAGGCGCCUCACUCAUUUAUUUGGGCUUCUAAACUACUAGUACUACUAGUACUCCCUUCAUUUUUGUAUACAAGGCCACAAACUCAAAUUACGGGUACCAAGAUAAAAAUCAAUUUGUGCUUUACAAGUCAAUUUAUUUUCUCAUUUACCGGGUUAAUUAAUAGGGUGCAUCCACAUUAGAAGAAAUUGAGUGCCCGUGAGAGAGGAAGUAGAUGAGUUUGUCAUUAUAAUCCACUACAUGCAUGCUAGUAAUUAAGCCAUGGGUUACUAGUACGAGGAAACAUCAUUAAUAUUUGUCUCGAUUACUGUUGGUGGCCUUGUAUAGAUGCAAAAUGUAUUUUUUAUAGUGGCCUUGUAUACAAAAAUGGAGGGAGUACCUCCGUCCUGGUUUAUUCGCCACCAUUGUAAUUUGUGGUAAAUUUUGACCAAAGAUUUAACUGAUAAAAUGUUAGUGCAUGUGACAUCACAAACAUUUCAUUAGUUAAAUUUAUGAUCAAAAUUUGACACAGAUUACAAUGGGGACCAAUAACCAGGAUGGAGCUAGUAGUAAAGGGAUUACUACUAAUCUAGAAGCCUAAACAAACUGGCCCCUGGUACUCCUACUAGUAGUACUAGUACUCAAGUUGGAAUUCCAAUUGCACGGCACAACUUGUUAGGCAAAAAAUUCGAUACAGGGUGUAGGAAGCGGUUUGGGAAUUUGCAUGCCUUUCCGACCAGUGAGAUACUCCGUACAAAGUAUGACAGAGAAAUAACCACAGAGAAGGAAGCUAAAAGUAAACAAUCAAACGAGCAUUUUUGCAUUUGUUUUGCAUUGAAUCGUUUGACAAGCUUGACUAGUACUGUUUUUCUACUUUUACAAAAACCGCAUCGUAAUGUUAAAACGUGCAUUUGCCCGUACAUAAGUAAUAGUAGUACUCCCUCCGUCUAGGUGUAUAAAGUCUUCCCUCCUACUUGGUCACGGUGCACAACCAAAGAUGACUUAUUCACCUUGACGGAGGGAGUAGCACAGUCUGCAAACAUAUAUAGAGAGAGACGUGUAGUGAGAUAGUAUAUAGUACUAAAGUUUGUGUUGUAUGCACCUACUUACAAAAUGCGUACGGAUACACAAGGUUUCCAAACUUUCCCUCUUACAUAGUAAAUUAAGGAUACUAAUAAUUCCCGAACAUUCGGGAUUUAUCAUUUGCAUCCCAAAACUAAUGAGAUCACCUUACGAAACUAAAUUAUACUCCCUACUAAAAGCCACAGCGCUCGCAGGAGCGCUGGCGGCGCGCCAUGAGUGCCCUGGUGUGCAGCCGUUUCCCAGCGCACCGACACAACACCUCUUCCUCAGCCUCGCAACUCGUGAUGUGCUGAUUGGUGGCUUGCCGGAGGGCGAGCGCAAUCUCACCGGUGUGGUGAUCCGGCGCCAGCAGGUACUCCCCCUUGCUGGAAGCGUGCAUCCGGUCCACAUACCGCCAAGCGUAGAUGAGGCGCUUGGGCCCGAUUGCACUCAGGGCAUUGGCACGGGCGUCCUCCGCCACCCUCACAGCCCUUGCACGGGCCUUCUGCCAAAGAGCCAAUUGUCUGACUCUCUCGGACGUGACAUAGAGCUGCCAGGCAGCUUGCCCCGCGGCGCGCUUCUCUUCCUCGGCCUUCUUCUCUGCCUCUAUUUUGGCGUGCUCUGCCGGCGGCAAAGCCUCCCACAUGGCGACAUCCAUUUCUUUCCAAAGCUCCUCAAGGCUGGGGGGCUCGGCGGGCGAUGCGGCGUUCUCCUUGUAGCGGGGAGCAGACGCGCGUGCUGGCAAGAUUGGGAAUGCCGACGCGUCCACCUCGAUGCGUCGCGGCGAGGAGUGGAAUGCCGACGCAUCCUCCUCAACUAGUUGCGGCGAGGAACGGAACGGCAACGCGUGACCAUCCGGGCGGUGCAGUGAGGCAUGCUUAGGGCUUGGGAGGGGCGAUGCCAUGGUGGUCGACGUGAGAGGGAGGGGGAGGAGAUAGCGAUGAACGUGAGCGUUCUUCCUAAUGCCGUGGGAGGCGCAGUAUUUAUAGCGAGCAAUGGCACACCUACAUAAGAUAUGGACUGAGCUGCACUGACUUAACUGCAGGUCCAGUUGCAUCACUGACAUGUGGGCCAGACCCUUGUUGGGCCCAUAUGUGAGUGACCCAAUGCACCUAUAGUUAAGUAACUAAAGCAGCGUCCGGGAAGAUAUGUUGCGUGAUUAACGUAAUAGCUACGUGGGCAUAUUUGUUGGAGUAAAUUACGGGGGAGGGAAGGGGUGGAAAUAUUGCUGGUCACAACGGAUUGGACGAGCGUGGGGGAGGAGAGUCAUGCAUGCAGAUUUUUUCACACGGGAUGGAGUGGUGGGACCGCCGGAGGGAGAAGGAGAGUCUGGCAGGCAUAUUGUUUCCACACAUGGAGAGGAAAAGAUUUGGAGAUGAACAGGCUUCCUGCAGGUCUGGGGAACGGUGCAUAAUAAGUCAUCUUGCAUGCCGGGCUAGGUAUAGUCUCAAGUCAUUAAAAACAUACACGCCCCACACAUGUUCAUAUUUCAAGGUGCACUAAAUUAUUGCAUGCGAUGAUUAAGGCUGGCCAUAAUGGUGGUAUCUUAGAUGGUAUCAUGCACACGGGAAUAGUAAACAUGCUGAUUUGGCAAAGAAUUAAAGAAGAGGGGGGUUAGAGUAACUAGUGUUCAUGCAUGCAUUGGUAAACACAUUUUUUGUGAAGAACGACAGCAUAAGUUGAGUACUUUUGCAGACUUAAAAAACUAUUCCACCGCCUCUACUAUCUUGCUAAGAGUGGGUGAAAUUUUUGAAUCGAGCCCUUAAAACUAGAAGGGAGGUAGUAGUACUCUAAUAGCUAACCUUGUUGUGAUGACAAGAUAGGACAUGGCACGCACCUGGACGGAGGAACUAGUCUGCAUUGUGCAUUUAAGUUUUGUCUGAAGUCAAUGUACCUCUACUUUCACCAAACUUAUAGAAAAAUGUAUCAACAUUCACAAUGUCAAAUCAAUAUUUUACACUCAUUAUAAAACAUAGUUCUUAUACUCAUUAUAAUCAGUAUUGUAGAUAUUGAUAUUUUUAGUAUAAAUUUGGUCAAACACUUUGCAAAUGGUUGAUGGCAGUAAAAAGGACCAGAGGGAGUAUCAUGCAUGCGGAGUAGGCAAACAAUUGCUCAUUUAUAGCCGGUCGAAGUCUCAAAGGGCGCGACCACGCGAGGGAGGCGAAAGUUGUGGGAGGCGCGACAGUUGACGGAAUUAAGUGAAGUUACAUCCACGCUCCGGCAUGGAGUGCGAAUAGGCAGAAGCUAUAUCGUCAGGCCUACAAUAUGGGUCUAGUAGACAUGACAUCUAGUGGGUCCCGCAUAGUUCUCGAGAACUCUUUGGGGGCUUGCAGUCGUUUAUCCACCGGGCAAACCAGCAACCCCACGCCAUUCGCACGCCCUACUCGCCCCCGUCUUCUACCUUACAAUAGUUCGCUCCCAGUUGUCCCGUCCUUUCACAUUAGUUCGCUCCCAGUUUUUUUUGCGGGGUACAAGAGUUAAACUUCUCCUAACCCUCCUCCAAAAUCCAUGGCCUCCCAAAUCUCCAUGGUCGCUGCUGAGUACCAGGUUAGAGCCAUCACCGGCAAUGAGUUCAUCGUCAUCUACACACGUGGAUCCGCGACGGUGAAAGCAUGGCUUGCUCGCUUCCUACGCAUGUUCAACAGUUCAAUGGAUGAGUGGGUCGCUGGGCUAGAUGUUGAGUACACCACAGUCCUGGAAAGAGAGAAGAUUCUAAAGGAGGCAGAGAGGAAGAAGCCCGCCGUGAUGCAGGUUUGCGUACAUAACGUUUGCUUGGUCUACCACAUAUGCCAUGCCGACGUUGAGUGCCAGGAUUUUAAGAACUUCCUCAAGGACAAAAGAGUGAAAUUCGUUACUGUAGACUUUAAGAAUGAUAGGGAUGUCCUACGUCGGACAGGUCUCGUUGUAGGCCAGCCCUUCGAUCUCUAGAAGGCAAGCCUGGUGUCCUCCUCUCAACCUUCAAUGCUGACCCUGGCAGCAGCCAUGAUUGAUCCUUCAUACACUAAACUGAAGAAACCUCAUCACGAGUUUCAUCAUGCAUGGGAGUCGAAGACAUUAGAUGAAGAUCACAUUCUGUACGCAGCAAUGGAUGCCUACCUUUUUUUAAAUAUCUACAAGGGUUGGAUGAAGAAGCAGAGCCCAGUGUCCGGUUCAAGCAAAGAAGCAUCGGCGAAGAGGAAGAGGAAGAGGGACCAGGACGAAGUCGAGGACGUGGAAUCGGACUCCGAGUAGGUGGCAGUGCCGUCGCUCAUGCUGGUUCUAGUGCAGUGUCAAGCAGACUAGUUGCUUAGUUUAUUUUCAAGGGUGUGUUGUGCUGAGGCCCCAGCAGAACUAAGUUUAUGUUCUUUCUCGUUAUUUGAACUCUUUAGUACAUACAGUAGUACUAGUACUAUGUCUUACUACUGUUCUUCUUGUAGUUGGUACUACUGCUCGUAUCUUCGUGUUCCUACUAUACUUAAUACGUUCAUACUAGUAGUAUAAUUUGGGUCAGUCGAUUUGUGAAAGAAGUUCGACGGAGCGAAGGAAGAAGACGGCAGAAGAGGUGGAAGAAGCCCUUCUAGCCAUCCAUGUUGCUCACAAGAGUCGACUGACCCAAAUUGCUCCUUCAGAUUGCAGGAUCCAUGUGGCAUUCAAGGUCUCGAAGGUAGAUUCCGUGUCCGCACCCGGUUUGCGGACUCGACACGCGCGCGACUGGCUUCCGCCGCGAUAGCCACCAUGCGCGCCUCCUCCGCGCGGGCGGAGACGACAAUGACAUGCUAGUUCCUCCUCGCCGGCGUGCUAGAGCACAUGCUCAUCCUCCUCUUCGUAUGCUACAUGCAUAGACGCAGCUCCACCAGCUGCUCGCGUGCUUGGAAGCACGGUGGCAUCGCGAGGAGGGACUGCAGACGACGUGAGCGGGCGAGCCUUCAGCUUCAUGGUACAGAGAUGGCGGCGACACAGCGGUGAUGGACGAGAAAUUGUUGGCCGGAGCAGGCGAGCGCUGGCAUGCGCAACGGCGGCGGCGGCAUAUUGAUGAGUGCACGUAUGGGAGCUUACUUUAGUUUUAUAUAAGGUUGGUCAAACUUAAAAGAAAAUCGUACUAGUACACGUAAACAUUAGACUUAGGCAGCGCUUUUAUUAGUUAGUACCACAACCACGAUACGGAAUCCUAUGCAAGCGCGUGAACCGCGGCCGCGCGUUCGAUCGAACGGUGCGUCACCAUGUCGCACUCGAAGGACAUCCACCGAACCUUUUUGUGUGUGUGAAAACAAUCCCCGAAUAUUGCUCAACUUUUUUUUCCUAGAAAAGUUCUUGACGCUGCAAUAUUUCCAUAUAUUUGAAUUUAGCUCCAGUUCAUGUUUAUUUAGAUUUGGACAUUUUAGGUGCGCCCUAGUUUUUUUUAAUACUGAUUUUGUGUGUGUGACUGAGAAAGAACGUGUGUAUGUGUCCAUAUGUGUGUUGUGGCAGAAGGGCAAUGUGGAUAUGGUGUGCGUGUGAUACAGACAUAGAGAGGUGUGAAUGUGCAAAUGAUCAUGCAUGAGUGAGACAUAGACAGAUGCCGAUACGUUGUGUAUACAUGAGAGAACGGUCUUCUAGUUUACUUGUGUGUGUGUGUGUGAGAGAGAGAGAGAGGAGCAUCCGUAACACAACAACCAUCUCUCUCGAUUUGUUUGUCCCUCGCAUGAUCGCAUGUAACACAUGCAUCAACGCGCACAUUUUGACACCCUCACCCGGCCCCUGCCCACCUCAGGGCCCGCACAAUCUCUUCGUGAAUACCCAUUUCUCUCCUUAGGUUUGUUUUCUCUCAAUAUCUGACACACACACACACACACACAGAGAGAGAGAGAGAGAGCACAACACACACAACCUCCCCGAGCACACAAUUAAUCCCCGUCCAAGGUUAUACGGCAACCACUCUCGCUUGUGCUUCUUUGCACCCCCAACAUGCACAACACCUCAAUCUUCAAAGAGGGCAUCGAGGAGAUCGAAGACGACGACCACACCGCGCUAGAGAAUGCGGGGCCAUUUGGAAGCAGGAUGAUGUGAUGACGGCUGAUUGACUCCUCCCCCCACCCUCUCUCUCUCGCACAAAAUUACCAAUCCGUCUCUCCCCCGCACAAAAUUAUCAAUCCCUCAACCCACGAGAUCCUUCCCCUCUCGUCCAUGUUUUUCCAGCUCUCUCAUCAAACAUGUUGUCUCGUCUGCUUCCACGUAUACAGAAUCCGGAUGCACAUGCAUCUCACGUAUAUUACAUGUCUCCAUCUUUCUCACAAACCUAACUUCUUCCUCUCUCUUUCUCUCUCUAUCUCUCUCUCUCUGUCUCGUUAGGUUUGUCUCCUACGCUCUCAUCCACAUACAUACAAUCUUUCCCGCCCUAUCUGCUCCAUCUUCGCAAGCUCUCUCAGCACGUUUCAUUAACACAUUGGGAUAUGUUCAAAAUGUUGCUUCUAUAAUGGCUGAUGUAGAGUUAUGGUUGGUUUUGUUGCAUCCUACAAAGUAAUAACUAUGAAAUGCAUUUAGAUUCUCAUUUGACUGGGAUUAUGUGAGUUUGAGCAUGUUGUGAAGUACUAUAGACCUUGUAUACAUCUUGGGAUUCGACAAUGAUUGUAACUAUUGAAUUGUAUAGAACAUUACAUUCAAAGUCAAUAGCCUAAUAUAUUUAUUUCACAAUUUCAACAAAUGAUUAGUUCACUACAAACUAAGAAAACAAAUGUCUACUCCCUCCGUUUUUAUUUAAGUCCGCGUAUUAGCAUUGGCCAAAGUCAAGUUUUGUAAACUCUCAGAAAUCUUAUAACAAAAAAUAUUAACAUAUACAAUAACAAAUAAAUACCAUUAGAUUCAUUAUUGAAUGUACUUUCACAUCAUACAUAUUUGUUAUGGUAAAUGUUUAUAUUUUUCUAUAAACUUGGUCAAACUUUAGGAAGUUUGACUUCGGUCAAACCUAAUAUGUAGAGUUUACUACUACUACUCGCUAGUUGCUUAGCCGAAUCACUCAAGACGCCACACAGGGAGUUCAGUGUCACAAAAUUUUGAGGUUGGCGGGAAAAUCUCCUGCGGCCCUGAUUCGAGCAGUGGGAAGUUACCAUCAUAGCCUUUGGAAUAGGCCUACGGAUGACGCUUGGUAGGGGGCUGUUUUCGUAACUUCAGGUUCACCCUACCCAGCCAACCCCACUCCGGCACCCAGAGUAGUACACCUGAAUACUCCCUAUUUUCUAUCCCCACCGCAAAGUAGACUUCUCCACGGCACCGCAGCCUUCGUGCUCCUCCCCUUUACAUCGGCGCACUCGUCCAUCGCAGUGCAUCUGCCUCAUCGAUGACCUCGUACGCCGCACUGGAGCCGAUCCACCGUCAUCGUCAUACUCGGAGCCUCUUCCCCGGCAUCGUCUUCCACGGUCUCGGAUCUGCUUCCUGGAAGCCGAUGCCAAGUGCAGAAGCACCACCGUCGUGGAAAAUGAACUGACUCCCAUUGCCGACCAUGACACACAUAGGCCGCUGCGACCAUCGUUCAUCGUUCUCCUCCUCGAUUGGUAAUGUGUGUAUUGAAUCACUUAGCAGUACAUGUGCAGUUCCAAUUUUGUUCAUACCUGGCCUUCAAAUUUCCUGGGUGCUAUUGUUCCUGUAAAAGUAAUUGGUUAUAGCCUCCAUUGUCCAACAGAAUAUCAGCUUGUAAUUGUGCGUCGCUCCUGUAUCGCGCUGUGCUUGGGUAGGUUUUUCAUCUGCAACCAGUAGUGUGGCAAAUGAUGGAAAGUUUUUUAGAACUAGCAAGAUGCCCAUGCAUUGCACGCAUCAAGAUGCAUUUGUAUGAGUACUUUAUCUUGUGGGAGAAAAGGAUGAACGAGGGAAGGCCUUAUUUGCAAAUCUGGAGAGGGGUAUGGGUAUCUUUUUGCAAAAUUCCCAUUGUUUCCUUCCUAUCUGUCAGAUAUAAAUCGGACGGCCUAUAUUGCAAGAUGGCAGGCACACCAUCAUCACCAACUCUAUUUUUUUAUAAGAAAAAAAAAGUACAGAGAAAAAAAAGUAGAUAGUAGAGAAGUAGAGAUAAAUAUUAAAUAUUAAAUAUUAAAUAAAUAUAAUAGUAGAGAAGAGAGUAGAUAUAGAAGAGACGUCGGGAAAGGAUCGUGCGCGCACGGGAAAAGCGGCCGGGUGUGCGCUAGUUUUGGCGCGCGGCGUCCGGCGCACUUUAUAAAAUCCAACGCCCUCCCACCGCUCUGUGCCUUGCCACCGCUCUCUCCCCGCUUUGUGCCUCACCACCGCCCUCUCCUCGCUCUUUCUUGCCUUGCCGCCGCCACGCCACCAUGCCGCCGCGUCGCCGAGAAACUUGGGGAUGCCAUGGCGUCCGCGCGCGCCCCUCUGAAGGCUUCUCCGCCGAGAUCUGGUUCCGCGGGAUGCACCUCGGCCUCGGCAAUUUCGACACUGCCAAUGAGGCCGCCCGCGCGUACGACGCGGCGGCGUGGAGCCUCCGAUGGCCUCAUAGAAUAUUGAACUUCCCCAACGUGCCGACACGGGAGCAGGCACAGGAGCUCGCGCCUCUGCCGCGGCUUAGCACCGACGAGGAUCGUCGCGACAACCGGAGGCGGGAGCACCAUCUCGGCAUCGCCGAGAUGGAUGAGGAAGCCAUGGCGCUGUGGCGCCAACACUUCCCGCAGGACAUGAUCAACGAGCGUGAGUUCUACACGCAAAGGAGGGCGGAGAGGGAUAAGAGGAGGGCGGAGCGAGCCGCCUAUCGCGAGGACAAGCGUAGGCGAAAAGCGGACGCUCAAUUCAACAUGAGGCUAGGAGCAGCGUCGCCCUGGGAAUCCGAUGAUGAUCGGUAUCUUCACGCCUACAGUCAGACGUCGGAGGAGGACAUAACCGAGGAGGAGUCGGACGACGAGGAGUAGUUGAAUUAUCUUUUUUUAUCUAUCUAUGCUGAGAACUAUUCUCUACUCUCUAGUCCCUACUCUCUAUCUCUACUUCUCGAUCUCAGCAUUGUAAACACUUUUUUAAAGCGCCGCGCAUUGUGAUUCUGUUGGAGAUGCUCUAACAUGGCAGACGAGUGCUUUAAUGUUGCCCACAAGAUGCGCGAGUAUUACUAGUAGUAUAUUUUUCUUGCCAUGUUGAGAUUUUAAAACCACGAGUGCGAACAUACAGAGGAGCAAUGAAGACCAAACACGGGAUAUUGGGGACAUCUUCAAGGAGUGUGGCAAGUUAAAGAGGAGCUGCACCGAACCUGUAAAACGAGCUUUGGUAAGUAACACCCUAUCAAUUGCUUUCGUUUAGCCUCGUGUUCUUCGAUGUGUAUAUGUUGUAAUUUCUGUUUCUCUUAAGCCUGGUGUUCUUCGAUGUGUAAUAAGAAGAGUCUUAAUCAUCCUAAUGCUUUCGUUUUUAGGUUGAUGUAGGAAGUGGGUGUUCUCACCUUGUAGUCUAUUUUUAUAUAUAUAUUUUUCCUUUUGAAUUCACUUCUUCGAGUUCUGUUUAUCUGGCUUCUACUAAAUGGAUCUGGGUUGCUCUGAGUAUUGAUCUAAAAAAGAAGUAACUUCAUGUCAGGAUGCAGUUCCUUCGAGGAGGGAAGUAUGGUCAACCUCGAGAUCAUGUUUCCAAAAUGAGGCUGGAUUACACACAAGGUGCCAGUUCCCUAAUGAUGCUGGAUUAGACACAAGGUGCAAAUUCCCAGAUGAUGCUGGAUUACACACAAGCCAGGUGGAGUCGUUAGCUGUUCGUGUCCUCGUGGCUCUAGUAAUGGCUGAAAGAAAGCGUGCAGCAGCCCUUGAGAAUGUAGCUGAGUUCCUGAAGAAGCGAAAAGAGCAGUCAGAUGCUCUCUUCACCCAAGCCAAAGAAGAGAUGGAAGAAGCCAGAAAUAAGCUAGCAGUGGCGGAGCAGGCUAGGCGUCUCCUGCUAUCUAAAACCGUUGUCAAUACAAAAUUUCCUUCAUAAUAGCUAGGUUCAAAUGUUUAUCCAGUCAACAUGCCUGUUGUGAUGUCCGUGCAUCUACUGACGUGGUACAAAAUAUUUUUUUCGGGUCAUGUAAUAACAGCAAUUACUUUCCAAACAAUAACAGACGAAGCAUUGGACAUGGUAUUCACGCGCAAGCCCAACAUUCCAAGUUCAACUUCCACAUCAAACUCAUGUUCACAGAUAUCUGCACAUUCAUACAUAAUGUCCACAACCAUGAUUCACUUUGAAGCCAAAAAAAUGUGAGGAGAGUUAUAAAUAAAGAAAAACCUCUACUAGUUACUGCUACCAGUGCGAGCACAACAAGUCAAGACCAUGCGUAAAUUAAUUAUAUUUUAGUCAUUUUUUGUGUUCUAAAAUGCAUGCCGGCUCGCGGAAGGACAUGUUGCCAGCACACGUGCGGAUUCAAUGAAGGCAGGCGGGGCAGUCUUAAGCUGGUUGCACGCGGUGAGGAGGCGUGCUCAGCCGGGCCUGCAGCGAGUGGGGCCCUCUUGGCCGGCGCGCCGGUUCAAUGCCUGCGCUAUGAGAGGUCGCGUCCGUGUUAGAGAAAUCACUCCCUCCAGUCCUUUUUUGUUUGGGUAUAACAAAAUCUCAUUUUCCAUUCACAUUUUACAAGUAAAAUUCGUGGACAAACUUUGACCCAAAAUAAGAUGGGGACUAGUAAACCAGAAUGGAGGUAGUAGUUUUUUUUAAUCAAAGAAGGGUUUCCCCUUCCGAUUUUCAUUACUGAAAACCAGCAUCUAAAUCUAAACCAUAGUAUUUGCCCUAGAACUACCAGGUUCAACAUCUCGCAACAUAAACCCAUACAACCAUGCGCCAAGGAGGUACGUAGUACUAUGAAUUCCAUUUUUGCUCCAUACCAAUCAUUCUAAAAACUACUUAGUACUUAUAACGCGCCAUUGAAAAUCGGAACACUUAACCCCGCUAAAAAAAAUGAUAUUUUAAAUGUGGCUACUCGAUCUGUGGCAACUGGCGAGCCACCGCGCUCCAAGUCGUUCACCUGUGGUCCCGACCAUCAACUCCUACGGAUCAAAUUAUCACGCGUGCUGACUAUUCCUACAAAGGUGCUCCACCACGUACCCGGUACCCGCGAAUGCAGCAAUCGUGCACCUAGGGUUUUAGGGUUUAUUUGUUAACGUCGCCUUUACGUAACACUCAUGUGUGCGAGACAGUGAGAGGCCGAUUGCGUGCGUGCGCCUCUUCUCUUUGUAUAUAUACUCCACCAUUUGUCUGGUGUCCAAAAAAUUAUAAUAACUACUAGCAAUGUGCCAAUGCGUUGCCACACGAUCAAAGAAGAUUAAUACAUAUUCACCGAUUUGAUAGAAAAAAAAGUCUAGUUUUGAAAUACGUAUAUCACUAAAAAUAUGUUAUGUUUCACUCAAAAUAUAUUCCUUUGGCGGUUUUGAUGAGAUAAGGGAGGAAUGUUGUUGGUUUCAAGAUUCGAGAAGUGGUAUAUGUCUAAUUUCUACUCUUACUAGCAAGAUGUCUGUGCGUUGCACGGAACAUUGGCCUUUACGCAACCAAUUAGUUGACAUCUAAAUAAAAUGCUAACCGAAACGGGAAAAUAAAAUGCUCACCACGACCACCUAAAUAUUUAUGUUUACUACUCAAGCAAAUAACAAUAUUGCACGCAACUUCGAAAAAUAAAUGUUUGCUCAAAUAUACCCUUGAAGCGUGCGCGCGAACGACGAACGGCGGCCUUGAAUCACCGGUACCGGAGCCGGAAACUCCACCAAACUCCCGCAGCUUCACCUCCACCACCACCUCCACCUCCACCAUCGCCACAACCUCCACCUCCGCCUCCACAACCUCCACAAAUGAGCUGAAAAAAUGCUCCAACAAAAUCUUCACCACAACCACCACAAGCUACCCCAUCAGUAGAUCGAGGUGUCUUUUGGCUCCUCUAGCUAAGUAGAACCCAUUCACGGUGCCAAAUCCGCAAAAAAACAGGUCAUUUUGGUGUAUUAAUUGGAGCUAUUUCGGGUUGGAGAGAGGAGGAACCAAGAACAGAGAGAUGCGCAUGGUGGUGGGGAAAGGAAACGGGAAGGAGGAAGGAGAAAAGAGGCAGCGCUGGGGUCCGCUCCCUAUCGGCCAGCAACCGGCCGAUCGGUCGGCAGCUGGCCGACUGGGGCGCCCGUGACCCAGCCCGCGCCGACAGCUCCCGGGCGACGUGGAACGGCCAAUAGUUGGCCCACGCGUGGCCGAUUGCCCACCUGUCGGCCCGCAGUUGGCCGAGAAGGCCCUGUCGGCCUGCAGCUGGCUGACUAGGCUCAGUCGGCCAGCUGCUGGCCGAUUGGAUAAUAUUUUCGAAAAAUAUUAUAUCAGCGUAAUAUUUUUGUAAAUUAAUAAAAAAAUGUAUUAUUUAAAAAAAGUUAGCGAAAAAAAGGGACGUAUGGUCACUUGGCCGGCUGCUCGUGCAGAAGAGGCCGACUACUUGCUAGCCGACUGGUAAAAAAGAGAGAAGUCAAGGGCUGUGUGCCCAACCGACUGGCUAUGGAAAAAAUGUCCGGCUGCCCGGCCGAAGAGAAAAUAAUUAGAGGGAGGCUGGCCGGGUCAGCGCAGUACACCGGCUCCGGAAAAAAGAAAGAGAGAGAGAGAGAGAGAGAGAGAGAGAGAGAGAAAGAGGUCGGCUGGGACAAAGAGAAGAAAAGGAAAAAAAAGGUCCGGAUGACUCGUCCGCCUGCUUCAUCACUCGGAGGGUCAGUCAUGACCCGCGCUGUCGGCUGUGCCAAACCGGCUGGGCUGCCUCCUGCUCUGACGCUACACCCAGCGGGUGCGCUAACGCGCCCCUGCGAGAAAGAAGACAAAGUAGUUGCUGGGAGAUCCGGCCUGACUGCUUAGCAGUUAGCCCGAAUCUCGGGGGCUACACCUAGCGGGUGCACUGACACGCUCCCGCGAGCAAGAAGACAAAGUAGUUGCCGGGAGAUCCGGCCCGACUGCUCAGCAGUCGGCCCGAAUCUCGGGGGCUACACCCAGCGGGUGCGCCGACGUGCCCCCGCGAGGAAAGAAGACAAAGUAGUUGCCGGGAGAUCCGGCCCGACUGCUCAGCAGUCGGCCCGAAUCUCGGGAGCUACACCCAGCGGGUGCGCUGACACGCCCCCAUGAAGAAGAAGACAAAGUAGUUCCCGGAAGAUCCGGCCCGACUGCUCAGCAGUCGGCUUGAAUCUCGGGGGCUACACCCAGUGGGUGCGCUGGCUCAUGGAAGAUUGCAAACAAGAGAAGAGUUUUGUCCGGCUGCCAGCAGCCGGCAGAAGAAAAAGAAGAAAAAGGGCGUUGCAAGAUGCCUCGCCGCCUGGCCGGUCGAGCCUGACCGGCCGGGAGCCCCCUUCGACCACCCGGGGGCUCAAAGGAUACACCCAGCGGGUGCGCCGGCGCACUCCGCAAGCGCCGAGCCGCGCUGGCUGUCUUCGGCAAACUCCGCCUCGGCUACACGAAAAUAAAUGUGAGCUCCUCACCCGCAUAUUUUGCACCACGCAAGCAUGGAUAACCUCGAGCAAUGCUCGGUGGCUAUCUCCGCAUUUUAUUACAGUUGCAUCACUGUUCGCCCCAGCGCCAGCCAGAGUUGGCCCGGGGGCUGGCCGCUUGGCCUGAGACGUUAGUUCUCGCAGACGGUUUAGUAACGUGCGCGAUACCAAAGGCCCACUCUCAGUCACAGACCGUAGAGCGGCUGUCCGGCUGGCAAGAGUGAACGCUAGAGGCCACCCACGCGAAAAACGUCCGGGAAGAAAAAUGCUUCGGGUGAUCCGGCCGUUUCCUUUAUGAGUAUCUGCUCGGUUAAAUCCGCUCCCAGAGUCUGAGUACUGUACACUCCACUUCGCGGCCCACUCUCAGCCACAGACAGCAGAGCGGCUGUCCGGCGAGCGAGAGCACAAGCCAAAAAGCGGAGGGAACACGAAAAAGAUUGAAGGGGGCUCGGACGAAACCGAGUCGGCACCCUACGCAUAAAACUUGCAAUGCUAAAAGCAAUCAUUUGAUAUAUCUUCGUGGACUAACUUUGUCUUUUGCAUGAUCAUUUCCAUGAACACCCACCAAAAAACCUCCGCCCAACUUUGCCAGGUUGCCCGGAGGCUUGGGGGCUACUGUCGGAGUAAUUGGCGAUGGGUACCCCGAAGAUGGCAAGACAAUAAUUCAAGACAUCGGGGCUAGCAAAGCCCCUCAGUCUGACUGCUCGGCCGCUCCUGCCGGCUUCCCGUCCGUCUGCUCUGCCCGACCGGCUGCCGGCUGCCGACUGUGCCAACCAGCCGGCUGCCGACUACGCCAACCAGCCGGCUACCGACUGCAGCCCGACCCGACACUGACAAGACACCAACGGGACGACCAUACUGCAACGUCAUCUACAGUGUACCGUGUCCCCUGGGUACUGAUUUAUAAAGUACCCCAGGGGACAAGAAUGACAUGCACCAUGCCACUAGCUAUGCCUACAUAGCUUGGCUUCUAAGCUACCCAAGGUAGCUUACAACCAAAGCCACUACCACCCAUGCCACUAGCUAGCUUACACAUUAAGCUAGCUACACACUAUAAAAGGAGGCCUCAUCCAUCCAUCCAGGAGGAUGGACUCCCACGGCCACACACUCCCCCACGACCAUGCUUGGCCACUAGAGCAUGCAUGCUCACUCCGGACACACACAUAUACAGAGUCAGAUGCCCAUGACACUGAUCCCAGAUACAGCUCUAGGAGCACUUUGUACUGCCUGAUGUACACCCGAGAUAUAUACUCAGACAUGCAGGAGUAGGGGUGUUAUCUCUCCGGAGAGCCCCGAACCUGGGUAAACUACUGCGUGUUAUUCGCAUACCCGCUCCCGGGCCUAUCAGCGGCAGUCUUGCCCUCACACGAAGCCACCUUGUGGCAUAUGUCGUCUUGCACCCCCCCCCCCCGUGAGAAUACCACGACAUCAAUGAUUUACAUUAUAUUGUUGUAACUAGGCGACGGUCAAUCUAGAUAGUCAUGAUGAGCAAAGCUUGCUUGUGCUUUUCAAGGAAGCAUUGCAGCAGUAUCGAUGUUACCUGAGGAAAUCACACUUUCAUGGCAAGUCUAUAAACGAAUUUCCGGUGAAGUCUCCUGUGCUAAAUUUAGAAGACAUUGAAUGGAAAAACCUUGUUAUGCACUGGUCUCGUUCACAGGAUGAGGUACUGUCUAUGAAAUCACAUGACAAUUUGAACUUCAACUUUUCCGCAUGUGCCUUACGGAUCUUUUUUGCAGGAAAUCUGCUCGAAGAAGAAUUCUGGUUUGAAAAGAACGACAGGAUAUUGCAAAUAUGUUGCCCGCUGCUUUGCUCUUGUUAGUACCUGUUGUCCCAAGAAAAAGUAUGAAGCUCAAUUCUCUACUUGGCUAGAUGCUUGGCUGUAAACAUUUGUAUAGUUCCCUUUGUUCUUUUUUCAGUCCCUAUUUCUUUUAGCUAUAGAUUAGUUUUCUUUUUUAGUUUUCUUCUUCUUUUUUGUUUUUCAUUCUUUUAUGUGGGCUUACCUCAAGCCCCCAAGACAAUUGUUGUUUAUUUUCUAUUUUAAUAAAAGCUGCAGUGGGGUGUUUACCCUACUGUUUAUAGUCAAAAAAAGUAUCUGUUGUCCUGUAUCACUGUACUUGCAUACAUACCUAGUUCAUUAUGUGACAGCAGUAUGCAUGAUAGCUUGCUUAUUAAUUGUUUGCUCCAAAUUAUCUAAUCUGUAUGAAUGGUUACAUUAGUGUAGAAUAUAUCCAAUGCCAAUGAAUUUUUUUAGCUCUGCAUUGUUCUUGUAAGUACAUGUUGUCCUUUAUCAGUGUACUUAUAUUGACUGGUAGUUGUUCAUGUACCAUCACUCUGCAGCUUAUUUUCCUUCGCCCUCCACUUUCUACACACCAGAUCUAUAUUUACUCUUACCAUAAGGUUGGUACUGAAGAAUUUUAGCUGUGCAUUGCUCUUGGCUGUACCUUUUGCCUGUAUCGCUGCACUUACAUUUAUAGCUACUUGUUUAUGUAGCAUCACUCUUCAUCUUAUCUUAAAUAUUCUCCAUUUUUUUAUAUUAUCACAUCUAUAUUUACUCUUAACAAAAUGUAGAAUAAAGGCAAUGCUUAUGAAGAAGAUUCUAUGGUAAACUUCUUGAAUUGCCCCCCCCCCCCAUCAGCAUGGACAAGGGCUUUAUAGAGCCUGACUUCACCAAUAAUGUAAGUUUGUCCUUCUCAAGCCUUCAAACUUUGUUGUGUAUAUUUGGUUAGGCAUGACUGCAACAGCUAUUUAUUUUUGGUGUUUGCAUCAAAUUGCAUGUUUAAAGUUUAUUAUGUAGUUCAUAAACAAAAGUUUGUCCUUCUCAAUUUAAGUUUUCAGUUGUACAACCAAGUUCCUUCUUCAUACCAUGUAAAUUAAACUAUACAGAGCAAGUGAUCUUCUUUUGCACUGCAUGUAUGCUUCAGUUCUUCAUCCGUAAUCCAGUGGUGUGGUGAACCUACCCACUACAGCACAAUGUCACAUUCUGCAAUGUCUUAACUAUGAACAAUGUCAUAUCAUUCUACUAUUAUUUAAACCAUCUCUUUAUUUGCCAAUCUGAAAUGGGAUAAAUUGACAGCACACUAACCAUUGAUACUUAUGAGUUCGUGAUCUGUAAUCCAGUGGUGUCGUGAAGCUGCCAACUCCUUCACAAUGUCAUUUCCUGCCAUGUCUUGACCUGAACAAUACCAUAUAGUGUUAAUGCAAUUUUAAACUGUGUCACUUUAUUCGUUAGUAAAAAAUGUGAUGAAUUGUCAGCACGGAUACUUUUAUGUGCAAAACCUGUCAUUUGUCUGCUUGUUUAUCUUUCAGAGUGAGGAAGAUAUAAGUGUUGAACAAGCGUAGUCUCAUCAGCUUGCUCAGCUGCUUGGCUGCAGCUCCCCAGCAGGGCUAACCUUUCUUGAACUCUAUUGAAUUGCUAUCGGUUUUGUAUAUUAUUUUGUCGGCGUGUUUAUUUGCACUCGUGGCGAUCUUUGAUGCCCAUUGUAUGUAAUAUGCUGUCUGUUUGUGCUUUAUUAUCAUAGUGGCGAACUUUGAUGCCCAGUGGAUGUAAUAUGUCGUAAUUUCUUUAUUGUAUAGUCUAGGUUUUUUUCUUAUUCACGAUGCUGCAAUUAUUUUACUGUAUAUAUAUCUUGUCUUCGCAGUAAACCGGCCAAACCAUAAAAUUACGGUACAUAAUCGGGCCGUCAUGCAAUCACGAUGUAUGAUCCGCAUCAUGGGCCCCGUCAUCUUGGUCCGUUAAAAGGCCAAAAGUAAACUAGCCCACUAGUAGAUUCGGGCCUUUAAUAGGCCGAGUAACCCCUGGCCCUCUUUUCCCAAGAAAACUCAAUGGGCUUUUAGGAGGCUAAGAAGUAGGUUGGGCCUGAAACGUGCCGAACAGCUCACGGGCCGGCAACAGCCUGAAAUGGACCCCGGCCCAUGAUUGUGCGAAUCAAAUCACAGGAUUUUAAUAGGCCAAAAUUGUCUUGGUCCUUGUUUGGCCCAAUCAGAUAUCGGCUGCGAGCAGGCCGGAUGCAAACUGGGCCGUAGUUAGGCCCAACUAUAUGACGGGCUUUUAACAUGCCAAAAUUAAUAUAGGGCUGAAAUGUUAAACGGGCCCUUAACAGGCCGAAACUAAUAUUAGGCCGAAUUACUAAAUGGGCCAUUAGCAACUGGGCCCAAAAGCAUAGCGUCCAGUUGACGGGUCGAAUCUGAUAUGGGCCAUAAUUUAGCCCAAAGCCUCUUAAAGGGACGGACCUGAUCUGGGCCGUAAUUUGGCCCAGAACGUGGUAGGCUUUUAACGGGCCGGAUCUCAUAUGGGCCAUUAUUAGGCCCGGAACGUGGCAGGCCAUUAAUGGACCGGACCAAAUAUAGGUCGGCAUUUGGCCCAAAACAUGGCAGCCAGUUAAUGGGUCGGCCUACUAGGGUCCUCAAAAUCUUGUGGGCCUACAGCUGGGCCAACCCAUUAAUGUCGGUGAAAUCUCAUGGGCCUUUAGCUCGGCUGGCCCAUUAUGAUCCACAAGAAUCUUGUGGGCCUUUACCUGGGCCGGCCCAUUAUGGCACACAAAAAUCUUGUGGGCCUUUACCUGGGCCGGUCCAUUAUGGCCCGCAAAAUCUUGUGGGCCUUUAGCUGGGCUAGCCCAUUAUGUUCCACAAAAUCUCAUGGGCCUUUAGCUGGGCUGGCCCAUUAUGGUCCGCAAAAUCUUGUGGGCCUUUAGUUGGGCCAGCCCAUUUAAACUUGAUGGGCCGGUCCACAUGUCAACAUGUCAUAGGCGCGUCUCGCCCAUUGGAUGAGUGACACAUGUGCCAACGUGGAGCUGACACGUGUCUACUCUAGCCAAUGAUGAUUUUACACGUGGAAAAUCCCCAUUGGUCGGGGCUGUUAACGGGUUAUCGGAUCCAAAACCCGACCCGAUAGCUUAACGGCGUUCCGUUAUGGUGGAUGCCACGUGUCGGUCACGCUUGACGAAAGCACUUCUGUGACGCGCGAUUUAUCGUCAUGGAAGUGGAAACUUCCGUGAUGAUAAUUUUGGUAAUGUCAUGGAACACUUCUACAACAGCACAGGUAUGACUAUCUUGAUUCUGUCAUAAAAUCGUCAUGGAUGUACAUGCAUGACAAAAAACGCGACCUAUUGUGACAAACACAUAUCAUCACGGAAGUGUAUUUUUUGUAGUGGUGGUAUGUAUUUAGCAACAAUAUAAUUAGCAUAGUCAGCAUACCAAGGUGUACUAUUAGAAACAUUUAUUGCAACUAAUUGUUCAUCAGGAAAGCUAUCAUUAAUAGGUUGUGGGUCAUCAAGAAUAUUUUCAAGCCUAGACAAGUUAUCAGCUACGGGGUUCUCUGCUCCUUUCCUAUCAAUGAUAUGCAAAUCAAAUUCUUGUAGCAGAAGAACCCACCUAAUGAGUCUAGGUUUAGCAUCUUUAUUUUCUAUAAGAUAUUUUAUAGCAGCAUGAUCGGUGUGAACAAUUACUUUAGAGUCAACAAUGUAAGAUCUGAAUUUAUCACAAGCAAACACCACUGCUAAGAAUUCUUUUUCAGUAGUAGCAUAAUUUUGUUUAGCACUGUCUAGAGUUUACCUAGCAUAAUGAAUAGCAUUCAGUUUCUUAUCAACUCUUUGUCCUAGAACAACACCAAUAGCAUAAUCACUGGCAUCAUACAUAAUCUCAAAAAGCAAGUUCCAAUCAGGUGGUUGAACAACAGGUGCAGUAAUUAAGGCUUUCUUUAGUGUUUCAAAGGCUUCCAAACAAUCAUCAUCAAACACAAAGGGAAUAUCCUUUUGCAAAAGAUUCGUAAGAGGCCUGGAAAUUUUAGAGAAGUCUUUGAUAAACCUCCUAUAGAAACCAUCAUGACCAAGGAAACUACGAAUACCUUUGAUAUCUUUAGGACAUGGCAUUUUCUCAAUUGCAUCAACCUUGGCUUUGUCCACCUCAAUGCCUCUCUCAGAAAUUUUAUGGCCCAAGACAAUACCUUCGUUAACCAUAAAGUGGCACUUGUCCCAUUUCAAGACGAGAUUUAAUUGUUCACAUAUCUGCAAGACUUGAUCAAGAUUGCUUAAACAAUCAUCAAAAGACUUCCCAUAAACCGAAAAGUCAUCCAUGAAAACCUCAACAAUCUUUUCACAAAAUCAGAGAAUAUAGCAAUCAUACAUCUUUGAAAGGUAACAGGUGCAUUACAUAAACCAAAAGGCAUAUGUCUAUAAGCAAAUGUUCCAAAAGGACAAAUAAAAGUGGUCUUUUCUUGAUCAGGUUGUAAAACAGGUAUUUGUGAAAAAAAAAAUAGAAUAUCCAUUAAGGAAGCAAAAAAUGUGUGUGCUUGGAUAAUCUUUCUAACAUUUGAUCAAUAAAAGUCAGAGGGUAAUGAUAUUUUCUAGUUGCUUUGUUUAAUUUUCUAUAAUCAAUUACCAUCCUAUAGCCUAUGACAAUUCUUUGUGGAAUAAGCUCAUUCUUAUCAUUAGGAACAACAGUAAUACCUCCUUUCUUAGGGACACAAUGAACAUGACUUACCCAUCUACUAUCAGCUAUAGGAUAGAUUAUAUCUGCUUCCAAAAGUUUCAAUAUUUCCGUUCUUACCACUUCUUUCAUCUUUGGAUUUAACCGCCAUUGGUGAUCAACAAGGGUUUAGCAUGAGGUUCCAUAUUAAUCUUGUGCUGACGUAGAGUGGGACUAAUGCCCUUAAGAUCAUCAAGAGUAUAUCCAAUAGCAGCCAUGUGCUUCCUUAGAACUUUCAAUAGUCUUUCUUCUUCAUGUUCUGAAAGGUUAGCACCAAUAAUAACAAGAUAUAUCUUUUUCUCAUCAAGAUAAGCAUACUUCAAAGUGUCUGGCAAUUGUUUUAAUUCAAACACAGGAUCGCCUGUAGAUGGAGGAGGACCUCCUAGAGUUUCAAUAGGCAAAUUGUGUUUAAGCAGAGGUUGUUGUUUGAAAAAGAUUCUAUCUAUUUCAUUUCUUUCACGCAUAUGCAAAUCAUUUUCAUGGUCUAGCAAAUAUUGUUCGAAAGGAUCAAUAGGAGGCACAGCAACAAAAGCAAGACCAAUAAUUUCAUCCUUACUAGGCAAAUCUUUCUUAUGAGGUUGUCUGCUAAACUUGGAAAAAUUAAAUUCAUGAGAUUCAUCACCAAAGUUAACACCAACAGUUUGUUUCUCACAAUCUAUUUUGGCAUUGGCAGUGUUCAAGAAAGGUCUACCAAAAAUAAUGGGACAAAAGUCAUCUUGUGGGGAGCUAAGAACAAGAAAAUUAGUAGGGUAUUUUAUUUUCCCACACAAGACUUCAACAUCUCUAAGAAUCCCAAUUGAUGAUAUAGUAUCUCUAUUAGCAAGUUUAAUAGUGACAUCUAUGCCUUCUAUUUCGGCAGGUGCUAUUUCAUCUUUAAUUUACUGAUAUAAGGAAAAGGAAUAGCAAUAACACUAGCAUCUAGGUCACAUAACCCAUGAUAAUAGUGAUCUCCUAUCUUAACUGAGACAACAGGCAUGCCAACAAUUGGUCUAUAUUUAUCUUUUCCUUCAGGUUUGGCAAUUCUAGAAGCUUCACCACAUAAGUAAAUAGCAUGCUCAUCAAUAUUAUCAACUAAGAGAUCUUUAACCAUAGCAACACUAGGUUCAACUCUGAUUUGUUCAGAUGGUUUGGGUGUUCUAACAUAACUUUUGUUAACCACAGUUGAAGCUUUAGCAUGUUCCUUCAUCCUAACAGGGAAAGGUGGUUUUUCAAUAUAAGCAGUGGGAACAAUUGGAUCAACAUUGUAAAUGAUAGUCUCUUCUUUAGCUUUCACCGGUUCUUUAGCUUCUUCUUUAAUAGGUGGGUGGUAUCUAAACCAUUUCUCCUUAUGGAGAUCAACAUGAGUAGCAAAAGAUUCACAAAAGGAAGCUACUAUCUCAGAGUCAAGUCCAUAUUUAGUGCUAAACUUUUGAAAAGCAUCGGUAUUCGUAAAAGAUUUAACACAAUCAAACUUAGGUUCAAUAACUGACUCUUUACCUUCGUCGAGUUCCCAAUCUUCAGAGUUGCAUUUAAUUCUUUCUAAAAGAUCCCACCGGAAUUCAAUAGUCUUCUUCAUAAAAGAAUCAGUGCAAGAAGUAUCGAGCAUGGUUUGAUCAUUACGAGAAAGCCGAGCAUAAAAAUUCUGAAUAAUAAUUUCUCUUGAGAGCUCAUGAUUGGGGCAUGAAUAUAACAUUGACUUAAGCCUCCCCCAAGCUAGAGCGAUACUUUCUCCUUCACGAGGCCAAAAAUUAUAUAUAUAAUUCCGAUCACGAUGAACUAGAUGCAUGGGAUAAAAAAUUUGGUGAAAUUCCAAUUUCAAACGGUUCCAGUUCCAAGAUCCAAUAUCAUCGCAUAGCCUAUACCAUGUCAAUGAUUUUCCCUUCAAAGAUAAAGGGAAAACCUUCUUCUUAGCUUCAUCUCCAGGCAAACCUACAAGCUUAAACAAUCCACAAAUUUCAUCCACAUAUAUCAAGUGCAUAUCAGGAUGUUCGAUUCCAUCUCCUGCAUAAGGAUUAGCUAGCAGUUGUUCUAACAUACCCGAAGGAAUUUCAUACUCAAUAUUUUCAGUAGGUGUAGUAGGUUGAGGGGCAAUUAAUUGUAGUUCCGUUCGAGGUGAAGAUACCCUGAACAAACCCCUCAAAGGAUUGUUUUCCAUAGUAGCAAGUGACAAUAAAUUUCAGCACGUAAUAAUAAUGUUUCCUUACCAAUUUCCACUUACCAAGAGCGCUUCACUCCCCGGCAACGGUACCAGAAAAUAGCCUUGCUGACCCACAAGUAUAUGGGGUCAAUUUUAGCCUUUUCAAUAAGUAAGAGUGUUGAACCCAAUGAGGAGCAGAAGAAAAUGACAAGUGGUUUUCGGCGAGGUAUUGUGUGCAAGUGCUAAAAUUGUAAGUAGCGGAGUAGUUUGAUAGCAAGAUAAUUUGUAAUGAGCAAGUAACGAUAGUAGUAACAAAAGUGCAUCAAGGUAGCCCAAUCCUUUUGAGGCAAAGGACAGGCCAAAACGGUCUCUUAUGAUAAGCAAAGUGUUCUUGAGGGUACACGGGAAUUUCAUCUAUUCACUUUCAUCAUUUUGGCUUAAUUCGUGUUCGGUACUUUGAUAAUUUGAUAUAUGGGUGGACCGGUGCUUAGGUGCUGUUCUUACUUAAACAAACCUCCUACUUAUGAUUAACCAUCUUGCAAGCAUCCGCAACUAUGAGAAAAGUAUUAAGAAUAAAUUCUAACCAUAGCAUUAAACUUUUGGGUCCAAUUGGUCCCUUACGGAAUAGCGCAUAAAGUGGGGUUUAAACUUUUGUCACUCUCGCAACCCACCAUCUAGUAAGUACUCCACAAUGCAUUCCCUUAGGUGCUAAUAUGGUGAAGUGUCAUGUAGUCGACGUUCACAUGACACCACUAAGAGAAUGACAACAUACAUAUCAUCAAAAUAUCAAACACAUAUCAAGUUCACAUGAUUACUUGCAACAUGAUUUCUCCCGUGACCUCAAGAACAAAAGUAACUACUCACAAAUGAUAAACAUGCUCAAGAUCAGAGGGGUAUUAAAUAGCAUAAUGGUUCUGAACAUAUAAUCUUCCACCAAAUAAACCAUAUAGUAAUCAACUACAAGAUGUAAUCAACACUACUAGUCACCCACAAGCACUAGUCUAUAGUUUUGGUACAAGAUUGAACACAAGAGAUGAACUAGGGUUUGAGAUGAGUUGGUGUUGUUGAAGAUGUUGAUGAAGAUAGCCCUCCCCAAGAUGGGAGAGUUGUUGGUGAUGAUGAUGGCAAUGAUUACCCCUCCGUGAGGGAAGUUCCCCCAGCGGAAUCACUCCACCGGAGGGCAAAAGUGCUCCUGCCAAAGUUCUGCCUCAAAGCGGCGGCGCUUCGUCCCAAAAGUCCUCCUCUGAUUUUUUUUUCUAGGUCAAAAUGACUUAUAUACCAGAAGAUGGGCACCGGAGGUGGGUCGAGGAGGGCAGCACCCACCAGGGCGCGCCUGAGCCUCCUGGCACACCCAGGUGGGUUGUGCCCACCUGGUGGCCCCCCUCUGGUACUUAUUUGCUCCAAUAAUUAUUAAAUAUUCCAUAAAAAUCCUCAGGAAGUUUCAGCUCAUUUGAAGUUGUGCAAAAUAUGUAGCUUGAUGUAGCUUUUUCAGGUCCAGAUUUCCAGCUGCUAGAAUUCUCCCCCUUGGUGCGUACCUUGCAUAUUAUGAGAGAAAGGGCAUUAGAAUUACUCCAAAAAGCAUUAUUAUACAAUAAAACAACAUGGAUAAUAGUAGGAAAACAUGAUGCAAAAUGGACGUAUUAUUCUCUAUGGUUCUUUUUGGUGGAUUUGAGUCAUAGGAAAAUCAUACUAUUAAGAGGGGGUCCGCUUCGGAAAGGUUAGGGUGGAAUCAUCACGUACACAUCUAUUCCUUUGCACCACCUUUCCUUCGCAUCAAUGGAGAACCGUCCAUUUAUCCAAGUCUCUAUGAUAUGAAGUUUGCCAAAUGCUAAAGCAUCUGUGACGUGCGGUAGUACUGCUCAAGGGAGUAGUAGUACCGCAGGUGUAGUACUGCUCAGCAGAGCGGUAGUACCGCUCCUGGUGAGCGGUAGUACCGCGGCCUCCAGUCCUGACGCUAGUGCAUGCGGUAGUACGCGCGGAUGUAAUUUUUUACUUCCGCCCCUUCGCGGUAGUACCGCUCCCUGUGAGCGGUAGUACCAUGCCGGAUUUUUGCACAACUCCAACCUCAGCUGAAGUAGUUACGGAUGUAAUUUUUUACUUCCGUGCUUUUUCCAAGCACCAAUUGAACCCUGCCUUACGGUAGUACUGUAGGGGCGCGCGGUAGUACCGCUCAUUGCCCUGUGCAACAGGCCCACACCUGAUCACUACCGCUCUAGCGGUAGUACCACAGCACUCUGCAGUAGUACCGCAGCACUCUGCCGUAGUACCGCAGCCUUGUGCAGUAGUACUGCGCCGUGCGGGCUGAGAAAGGGGAUAAUGGUUGGAUCUUUUCCCCCACUAUAUAAAGGGGGUCUUCUUCCCCAAGAAGACCACCUCUUCCCUCCCCAAGCUCCAUUGUUGCUCAAACCUCCAUUUUCGCAUGAUCUCUCUCCCUAGCCAAUCAAACUUGUUGAUUUUCUAGGGAUUGGUUGAGAAGGCCCCAAUCUACACUUCCACCAAGAGAAAUUUGAGUCCCCCACUAAUCCCUUGUGGAUCUUGUUACUCUUGGGUGUUUGAGCGCCCUAGACGGUUGAGGCCACCUCGGAGCCAUAUUCCAUUUUGGUGAAGCUUUAUGGUGUCAUUGGGAGCCUCCAAUUAAGUUGUGGAGAUAGCCCCAACCUUGUUUGUAAAGGUUCGGUCGCUGCCUUCAAGGGCACCAAUAGUGGAAUCAUGGCAUCUCGCAUUGUGUGAGGGUGUGAGGAGAAUAUGGUGGCCCUAGUGGUUUCUUAGGGAGCAUUGUGCCUCCACACCGCUUCAACGGAGACGUACUUCCUCUCAAAGGGAAGGAACUUCGGUAACACAUCCUCAUCUCCACCGGCUCCACUCUUGGUUAUCUCUUACCUUUACUUGUGCAAGCUUUCAUUGUGUUGUAUCCCGUGCUUGCUUGUGUGCUUGUUGUUGUUGCAUCAUAUAGGUUGCUCACCUAGUUGCACAUCUAGAUAACCUACUUUGAUGCUAAGUUUAAUUUGGUCAAGAAAAGCUAAAAAUUGUUAGUUGCCUAUUCACCCCCCCCCCCUCUAGUCAACCAUAUCGAUCCUUUCAUUAUCUCCAGACUAGAUCGUACAACCUCCCUCUCUCCCCACAGCAACGGGUGCUUGAACGGGCCAACUCCGGCCACCGGAUCCGCUUCCCCACCAGUUGCCGGCCCCAAUACAAUGGAUACAUGGUAGGAAGACCUCGUCUUCCACUGAGAUUCAGCGAGGCAAUUUUGCGGCGAGGCGUGUCUGUCCCGGCCAUCGACGGGCCCGAUGACGACGGCAAGGUAGUGGCUUCACAGGCUGGCGCCGGAUCCGGCACCCAUAAUGCAGCUCAGCAGCCUCCGUGUCCAUCCCAUCCCCAGCGAGAUCUGCGCGUGAGCACGAGCACCACGACGGGUCACGGCGCACGGGUGUAGCUGUAUCCGGCGACUCCAAGUCUGACCGCCACCGGAUCUGGUGAGUCAUGAAUCCCAUCUACCCUAACCUCUCUCCAUAUGCACUUCAUGAUUUCGGAUUUAUUUAGCAUGAUUUGAACAUUCUUUGUUUCUUUACCAUAUCAUCGGCUUCCCCUGCUACUUCAGUUUCAGAUAUUUGCAACUUGAUUUGAACAUUCUUUGUUUCUUUAUCAGAUCGUCGUCCUCCCCUGCUACUUCAACUUCAGAUAUUUGCAACUUGAUUUGAACAUUCUUUGUUUGUGAUAGGGAGCAUGGGUUAUAGUUUUUUGAAAGAGAUGGAGAUCUAUGAAAUUACUUCCCUGUAAUAUUUGAAUGUGGUGUUUGAUACGUCUCUAACGUAUCUUAUAUUUAUGAAGCAUUCAUGCUAUUUUAUUAUCUGUUUUGAAUGAUAUAGGCUUUAUUAUACACUUUUAUAUUACUUUUGGGACUAACCUAUUAACCGGAGGCCCAGCCCAUAUUGCUGUUUUAUUGCCUGUUUCAGUAUUUCGAAGAAAAGGAAUAUCAAACGGAGUCCAAACGGAAUGAAACCUUCAGGAGCGUGAUUUUUAGGAAGAAUAUGAUCCGGGAGACUUCGAGUUCACGUCAGAAGAUCCUCGAGGAGGCCAUGAGAUAGGGGGGCGCGCCCACCCCCUAGGCGCGCCCUACCCUCUCGUGGGCCCCUUGAGGCUCCCUCGACUGACUUCUUUCACCUAUAUAAGUCCACGUACCCUAAAAACAUCGACAACGAAGAUAGAUCGAGAGUUCCGCCGUCGCAAGCCUCUGUAGCCACCAAAAACCUCUCGGGAGCCCGUUCCGGUACCCUCCCGGAGGGGGAACCCAUCACCGGUGGCCAUCUUCAUCAUCCCGGCACUAUCCAUGACAAGGAGGGAGUAGUUCACCCUCGGGGCUGAGGGUAUGUACCAGUAGCUAUGUGUUUGAUCUCUCUCUCUCUCUUGUGUUCUCUCUAUGGCACGAUCUUGAUGUAUUGCGAGCUUCGCUAUUAUAGUUGGAUCUUAUGAUGUUUCUCCCCCUCUACUCUCUUGUGAUGAAUUGAGUUUCCCUCUUGAAGUUAUCUUAUCGGAUUGAGUCUUUAAUUUGAGAACACUUGAUGUAUGUCUUGCCGUGUUUAUCUGUGGUGACAAUGGGAUAUCAUGUGCCACUUGAUGUAUGUUUUGGUGACCAACUUGCGGGUUCCGCCCAUGAACCUAUGCAUAGGGGUUGGCACACGUUUUCUUGACUCUCCGGUAGAAACUUUGGGGCACUCUUUGAAGUACUUUGUGUUGGUUGGAUGAAUCUGAGAUUGUGUGCUGCAUAUCGUAUAAUCAUGCCCACGGAUACUUGAGGUGACAAUGGAGUAUCUAGGUGACAUUAGGGUUUUGGUUGAUUUGUGUCUUAAGGUGUUAUUCUAGUAUGAAUUCUAUGAUGGAUUGAGUGGAAAGAAUAGCUUUAUGUUAUUUUACUACGAACUCUUGAAUAGAUAGAAUAGAAAGGAUAACUUUGAGGUGGUUUCGUACCCUACCAUAAUCUCUUCGUUUGUUCUCCGCUAUUAGUUGCUUUGGAGUGACUCUUUGUUGCACGUUGAGGGAUUGUUAUAUGAUCUAUCUAUGUUAUUAUUGUUGAGAGAACUUGCACUAGUGAAAGUAUGAACCCUAGGCCUUGUUUCCUAUCAUUGCAAUACCGUUUACGCUCACUUUUAUCAUUCGUUACCUUGCUGUUUUUAUAUUUUUCAGAUUACAAAAACCUAUAUCUACUAUCCAUAUUGCACUUGUAUCAUCAUCUCUUCGCCGAACUAGUGCACCUAUACAAUUUACCAUUGUAUUGGGUGUGUUGGGGACACAAGAGACUCUUUGCUAUUUGGUUGCAGGGUUGUUUGAGAGAGACCAUCUUCAUCCUAUGCCUCCCACGGAUUGAUAAACCUUAGGUCAUCCACUUGAGGGAAAUUUGCUACUGUCCUACAAACCUGUGCACUUGCCGGCCCAACAACGUCUACAAGAAGAAGGUUGUGUAGUAGACAUCAAGCUCUUUUCUGGCGCCGUUGCCGGGGAGGUGAGUGCUUGAAGGUAUAUCUUUAGAUCUUGCAACCGAGUCUUUUAGUUUCUUGUUUUAUCACUAGUUUAGUUUAUAAAAGAAAACUACAAAAAAUGGAGUUAAGUUUGGCUCAUACGCUUCAUCUUUUUAAUAUCUUUCGUGAGUUUGAUGGAAAGGAAAAUUGUGCUCAAGUGCUAGAAGAAGAGUGCAUUAAAAUGCUUGGUACUGAAUUUUUGAAUGAUAAGCAUGAUUGCAAUGUUGUUAGUAUGAACUCUUUGAAUAGCCAUAGUACUUAUGAUGAUUGCACUAGUUAUGAUGAAAAUAUCUCCUAUAAGCAUGUCAACUUUUGUGGAAUGCAUGUUUGCAUGAACACACCAAAUAGAGAAGAUAUAUAUUGCAAGAGGCAUAAGCACUUAGAAACUAAAUGGUUGCAAGAAAGGCUAAAUGUGAGUGCUGAAAAUUUAAAUUUCCUUUGCCGUACUUGUGAACUUUGCAAUGAACGUGGUCAUUUACAUCUCCUAUGCAAAUUGUUUCAUGAACGAAUCGUGUCGAAAAAUUGUGAUGAUUUGAUUUCCCUUGCACAUUACAAUGAACUUAGUUUACUUUUGGGUUAUGAAGAAUUGAAACGUUUAAUUAAGGACCUUCCAGAAUUUGCCCAUAAGAAAUUCCUUGAUAUUGAUCUAGAGAAGAUUUAUUUGUAUUGUGCAGUGAAUUGCAUUGAAAAUCCUUAUAUUGCCAAUCACAUAAAGAAAAGAAAGCAAAUAGAAGAUGAUGAGAAUACUAAUGGAAGGGAAGAGACUUCCCAAUAUCCUCCUAUUAUUUCUUAUGAUGAGUCAGGUAACGAGGAGGAGCUUUCUAUUCAACCAAUCUUGUCAAUAAGGAGCUCAAAGAGGAAGGUUGAACCCACACAUAAUGUAAAAAAGAAAAGGAAAAGAAGGGGCAACAAAGGUAAAAAAGGUAUCCCUUCCAAAUGAUGUUGCUCCUACUACUCAUUGUGAUGAUGAUAAUUGCUACACUAUUGGUGCUAUCCAUAUUUUUAAUGAUGAGAGUGAUUAUGCUUAUGAUAUGAAAAUGCCCAAUCUUGGGGAAGCUAUGUUUGAUGAGGAUGAAGUAUUUGAGAAUAUAUUUGCUGAAAUUAAUGUUUGUCCCAAGCUUGGGGAUGCUAUGUUUAAUGAAGAUGAUAUUUUUAGCAUCCCAAGUUUUGAUAUUCAAAGUUGUUAUGAUGAUAGCAUGCCUCUUACCUAUGAUGAUUAUAUUGAUGAAAGUGGGUUUGGAAGAGUGUCAACUUUAGGAAGUAGUUAUCCCACUAUUUUGGAGGAUGUUGAAUCUUAUUGUGAUGAAUAUGAAAGUGGAUUUGGAAGAGUGUCAACUUUAUUUAGUGAUGAUUCCACUAUCUUGGUAGAGGUUUCAAUCGAUUAUGAUGAGAACGAAGUUGCUACUUAUGAUGAUUAUUGUGAUGAAACUUAUGCUAUAAAAAGUAGUAAUGAUUAUAUUUAUAAAACUUGUCAUGAUUAUAAUUACCCUUUUUCUGAACAUUACUCUUUUAAUGUGGAAACAAUUUUUAGUGUUCAAGUCUCUUAUGAUACUCCCACUAUUCCAAAUGAGAAGGAUUUUGCUUAUGUGGAGAGUAGUAAAUUUUCUAUGCUUGUAGAUCAUGAAAAUAAUGCUUUAUGUGCUGGUUAUAUUGUUGAAUUAAUUCAUGAUGCUACUGAAAAUUAUUAUGAGGGAGGAACAUAUGCUUGUAGGAAUUGCAAUAAUGUCAAGUUUCCUCCCUAUGUGCUUAAAAUCUUGAAGUUAUGCUUGUUUUGCCUUCCUAUGCUAGUUGAUUAUUGUUCCCAUAAGUUGUUUGCUCACAAAAUCCCUAUGCAUAGGAAGUGGGUUAGGCUUAAAUGUGCUAGUCAUAUGCUUCAUGAUGCUCCCGUUAUGUUUCAAUUCUUAUCUUUUAUGUGAGCAUCAUUGCCAUCAUCAUGCCUAGCUAGAAAGGCAUUAAAGAAAAGUGCUUGUUGGGAGACAACCCAAUAUUUACCUUUACUGUUUUUGUGUGUCAAUAUGAUUAUGCUACUGUAGUAAUCAUGUUUUAUAUCUUUUUGUUUCAAUAAAGUGCCAAGUAAGACCUUUAGGAUGGCUUACGGUGAUAGUUGUGUUGAUCCUGCUGAAAAUCAGAAACUUUUGCACCCAGUAAUUUAGUUUUGUUAAUUCAUAGAAACGUGCUUAUGAUCUGAUUCUUUUUGCUCUGGAUUGGUACACAAAUUGCUUAGGACUUCCUAAUUAGGUAGGAUUUUUGGAGUUCCAGAAGUAUACGUUUGAUAUAGAUUACUACAGACUGUUCUGUUUCUGACAGAUUCUGUUUUUCAUGUGUUGUUUGCUUAUUUUGGUGCAUCUAUGAGUAGUAUCAGAGGGUAUGAACCAUAGAUAAGUUGGAAUACAGUAGAUAUUACACCAAUAUGAAUUUAGAAUGAGUUCAUUACAGUACCUAAGUGGUGGUUUUAUUUUCCUGUACUAACGGAGCUUAAGAGUUUUCUGUUGAGUUUUGUGUUGUGGAGUUUUCAAGUUUUGUUUAAAGAUUCGAUGGACUAUGGAAUAAGGAGUGGCAAGAGCCUAAGAUUGGGGAUUCCCAAGGCACCCCAAGGUAAUAUUCAAGGAUAACCAAGAGCCUAAGAUUGGGGAUGCCCCGGAUGGCAUUCCCUCUUUCGUCUUCGUUCAUCGGUAACUUUACUUGGAGCUAUAUUUUUAUUCACCACAUGAUAUGUGUUUUGCUUGGAGCAUCAAUUUCUCUUGUUAGUAUUUGCUUGCUGUUAUUUAGAAUAAUGUUUUGCAUCUUUACUUUCAAUAAAAAAAGUCAAGGAUAGCCUUUACCAUGCUUAUUUUGCUAGUAUACAUGUUGCUGUUUGGAAACAGAAAGGUUACCGCUGUUGCAAAAAUUCCCUAGAAAAGUCAGAGCAUGAUAUAAUGUUGAAACUUAUUGCAUAAUGAUCUCUGAUAAAUUUACUACGGUGUGAAUUUUAUUUCAUAAUUUUUGGAGUUAGGGAAGUUUGAUGAAUCUUGCAUUCUUUACAGACUGUACUGUUUUGACAGAUUGCUGUUAUGUUUGCAUUGUUUGCAUAUGUUUGCUUGUUUAGUGAUUCUAUUUAAGGAUAGGAGUAUUCAAUAUGCAGAGGCAUUUAGUAUGAAAUGUUGAAUAAUAAUUUUAGUGAUUUGUUAUAGUAGAAAAUGAUAAGGUUUUGCAUUGAUUUAUACUAACCUAUCUCACGAGUUCUUGUUGAGUUUGGUGUGGAUGAAGCUUUUGAUAAAAAGAGAAACCAUGAUAUGAGAGGAAUUAAGGAGACACAAAAGUUCAAGCUUGGGGAUUCCCAAGGCACCACAAGAUAAUAUUUCAAGAAGUAUCAAGCAUCUAAGCUUGGGGAUGCCCCGGUAGGCAUCCCACCUUUCUUCUUCAAACAACUAUCGGUUAGUAUCGGUUGAACCUAAGUUUUUGCUUCUUCACAUGAGUUGUGCUAUCCUUGCAAUGUCAUUUUAUUUUGUUUUGCUUGCUGCUUGAAUAAAGUACUUGAGAUCUGAAAUUCUUUAAUGAGAGAGAGUCUUCACAUAGUUACAUAAUUUAGCUACUCAUUGAUCUUCACUUAUAUCUUGUUGGAGUAAUUUGUCGUUUACUCGUGUGCUUCACUUAUAUCCUAUGAGUAAAUGGUUGAAUGAGUUGAAUGUCAUAAAUCUGAAAUUAUAUAUAUUUCAUUUGCUUAUCCCAUGGGGAGUAAUGACUUCACAUCUAAGAAGUAGAGGUUGUAAAUUUAUUGAAGGUUAGAAAGCAUUGUAUUGGUCAUUUGAACAAUUCAUGAAAGAAUAUUGAAGGAAGAGAGAUUUCCCAUAUAAAUACACUAUCCUAGACAUCUUUUAUAAUUGGGAGCACUCAUUAAGUAUGACAUGCUAAAGAGUUGAUGUUGGAUAAGGAAGACAACGUAAUGGGUUAUGUUUUCGCACAUCUCAGUUAAAGUAUAUUGUCAUGGAUCAUUCAAACAUGUUGAGCUUGCCUUUCCCCCUCAUGCUAGCCAAAUUCCUUGCACCAAGUAGAGAUACUAUUUGUGCUUCCAAAUAUCCUUAAACCCAGUUUUGCCAUAAGAGUCCACUAUACCUACCUAUGGAUUGAGUAAGGUCCUUCAAGUAAGUUGUCAUUGGUGCAAGCAAUAAAAGUUGCUCUCUAAAUAUGCAUGACUUAUUAGUGCGGAGAAAAUAAGCUUUGUACGAUCUUGUUAUGGAAGCAAUAAAAGCGACGGACUGCAUAAUAAAGGUCCAUAUACAAGUGGCAAUAUAAAGUGACGUUCUUUCGCAUUAAGAUUUUAUGUAUCCAACCCUAAAAGCGCAUGACAACCUCUGCUUCCCUCUGCGAAGGGCCUAUCUUUUACUUUAUGCAAGAGUCAAGGUGAUCUUCACCUUUCCCUUUUUCAUUUUAUCCUUUGGCAAGCACUUUGUGUUGGGGUGAUCCUGAUAUAUAUAUCCAAUUGGAUGUAAGUUAGCAUUAACUAUUAUUGUUGACAUCACCCAAAGGUGAAUACAUUGGGAGGCAACACUAUAAUCCCCUAUCUUUCCCAGUGUCCGAUUGAAACUCCAUAACCAUUAGUGUUGUGUGAGUGUUAGCAAUUGUAGAAGACUAUAUGAUAGUUGAGUAUGUGGAGUUUGCUAUUCCUGAAAAUAAGAUGAAUUGCAAGUGUUUGAUGACUAAGAAUGAAGUUUGCUAGUUUUCAAGAAAGUUUAUGGUCUAUGCUUUAACAUGAGAAUUGCUUGUUACUUGAUCUUGAGAAGUUUUAUGAGAUGAACUACUGUUAUGACAUAUAAUCAUGCUAGAAAAGGUGACUGAAAUUAUCAUUGAUCAAACUUGUGCACCUUCUAGCAUUCACACUUCAUAAAUUCUUUCUUUUAUCAUUUACCUACUCGAGGACGAGUAGGAAUUAAGCUUGGGUAUGCUGAUACGUCUCCAACAUAUCUAUAAUUUAUGAAGCAUUCAUGCUAUUUUAUUAUCUGUUUUGAAUGAUUACGGGCUUUAUUAUACACUUUUAUAUUACUUUUGGAACUAACCUAUUAACCGGAGGCCCAGCCCAUAUUGCUGUUUUAUUGCCUGUUUCGGUAUUUCGAAGAAAAGGAAUAUCAAACGGAGUCCAAACGGAGUCCAAACGGAAUGAAACCUUUAGGAGCGUGAUUUUUAGAACAAUAUGAUCCGGGAGACUUGGAGUUCACGUCAGAAGAUCCUCGAGGAGGCCACGAGAUAGGGGGGCGCGCCCACCCCCCUGGGCGCGUCCUACCCUCUCGUGGGCCCCUCGAGGCUCCCCUAACCGACUUCUUUCACCUAUAUAAGUCCAUGUACCCUAAAAACAUCGACAACGAAGAUAGAUCGAGAGUUACGCCGCCGCAAGCCUUUGUAGCCACCAAAAACCUCUCGGGAGCCUGUUCCAACACCCUGCCGGAGGGGGGAACCCAUCACCGGUGUCCAUCUUCAUCAUCCCGGCGCUAUCCAUGACGAGGAGGGAGUAGUUCACCCUCGGGGCUGAGGGUAUGUACCAGUAGCUAUGUGUUUGAUCUCUCUAUCUCUCUCUCUCUCUCUCGUGUUCUCUCUAUGGCACGAUCUUGAUGUAUCGCGAGCUUUGCUAUUAUAGUUGGAUAUUAUGAUGUUUCUCCCCCUCUACUCUCUUGUGAUGAAUUGAGUUUCCCUCUUGAAGUUAUCUUAUAGGAUUGAGUCUUUAAUUUGAGAACACUUGAUGUAUGUCUUGUCGUGUUUAUCUAUGGUGAUAAUGGGAUAUCACGUGCCACUUGAUGUAUGUUUUGGUGACCAACUUGCGGGUUCCGCCCAUGAACCUAUGCAUAGGGGUUGGCACAUGUUUUCUUGACUCUCCGGUAGAAACUUUGGGGCACUCUUUGAAGUACUUUGUGUUGGUUGGAUGAAUCUGAGAUUGUGUGAUGCAUAUCGUAUAAUCAUGCCCACGGAUACUUGAGGUGACAAUGGAGUAUCUAGGUAACAUUACGGUUUUGGUUGAUUUGUGUCUUAAGGUGUUAUUCUAGUAUGAACUCUAUGAUGGAUUGAGUGGAAAGAAUAGAUUUAUGUUAUUUUACUACGAACUCUUGAAUAGAUAGAACUGAAAGGAUAACUUUGAGGUGGUUUCGUACCCUACCAUAACCUCUUCGUUUGUUCUCCGCUAUUAGUUGCUUUGGAGUGACUCUUUGUUGCAUGUUGAGGGAUUGUUAUAUGAUCUAUCUAUGUUAUUAUUGUUGAGAGAACUUGCACUAGUGAAAGUAUGAACCCUAGGCCUUGUUUCCUAUCAUUGCAAUACUGUUUACGCUCACUUUUAUCAUUCGUUACCUUGCUGUUUUUAUAUUUUUUAGAUUACAAAAACCUAUAUCUACUAUCCAUAUUGCACUUGUAUCAUCAUCUCUUCGCCGAACUAGUGCACCUAUACAAUUUACCAUUGUAUUGGGUGUGUUGGGGACACAAGAGACUCUUUGCUAUUUGGUUGCAGGGUUGUUUGAGAGAGACCAUCUUCAUCCUACGCCUCCCACGGAUUGAUAAACCUUAGGUCAUCCACUUGAGGGAAAUUUGCUACUAUCCUACAAACCUAUGCACUUGCAGGCCCAACAACGUCUACAAGAAGAAGGUUGUGUAGUAGACAUCAGUGUUGCAAGUUGUGAAACAAAUUUAUGUGAAAUGAUUUGUGGAAUAUAUGUGAAAUUUAUAUUUCAAUGUGCUGAAACUGGAAAUUUCAGCCUGUGGAAGUGUUAUAUAUUUCUCAAAAUGAUUGGAAUGAUUUUCAGUGAGAUAUGAAAUGAAAUAGCUAUGUGUAGUUGAGUUGUGCAUAAUAUGUGAAACUGAUAUUUCAAUGUGUUGUUGCAAGUUGUCAAACUAAUUUAUGUGAAAAUAUAUGAAAUUACUUCUCUGAAAUGCAUAAAACUGAUAUUUCUCAUAUUUGUAACUUGUUAUUUCAGUGAUAUAUGUAUUGAAAAAUAUGAAAUUACUUUCCUGAAAUAUAUUUCGAUGUGGUGUUGCAAGUUGUGAAACUAAUUUUUGUGAGAAUAUAUGAAAUUACUUCUCUGAAAUAUGUGAAACUGAUAUUUGUCAUAUUUGUAACUUGUUAUUUCAGUGAAAUAUGUAUUUAAAAAUAUGAAAUUACUUCCCUGAAAUAUAUUUCAAUGUGGUGUUGCAAGUUGUGAAACUAAUUUUUGUGAGAAUAUAUGAAAUUCCUUCUCUGAAAUAUAUGAAACUGCUAUUUCAUAUAUAUGUAACUUUUUAUUUCGGUGAGAUAUGUAUUGAAAUAUAUGAAAUUACUUCCCUGAAAUAUAUUUCAAUGUGGUGUUGCAAGUUGUGGAACUACUUUCUGUGAAAAUAUAUGAAAUUACUUCUCUGAAAUAUGUGAAACUGCUAUUUGUCAUAUAUGUAACUUGUUAUUUUAGUGAGGUAUGCAUUGAAAAGUGUGAAAUUACCACCCUGAAAAAUAUGUAAUUACUUCCCUAAAAUAUAUUUCAAUGCGGUGUUGCAAGUUAUUAAACUAUUUUAACUUUAAUGGUUUGUGCAAGAUAUGUGAAAUUUUUAUUUCAAUGUGGUGAAACCAGAUCAUUUUAGCUUGUGGAAGUGUUAUAUAUUUCUCAAAAUGAUUGCAAUGCUUUUUGAAAGAGUUGAAAUGCUAUUUCAGUUAGAUACUAAUUGAAAUAGCUAUGUGUAGAUGAGCUGUGGACAAAAAAUGUGAAAUUGACAUUUCAAUGUGUUAUUGCAUUUUUUUUGAAAAAGUUUUAUUUGAAAUGAAUUUAAUAAGUUUUUAAAUUCUCAUAUAUGUUUUAACAGAUUUCAAAUCAAUUUAAAGUAGAGGUUUGUCCUUUGAAAAACAAGCUGACAUUUCUAUACGUCUGUGUGAAGUGAGACUGGCUUCACGCGUAUGUGUAAAGCGAUGGCUGUGGCUGAAAUCACGUGGUUAGGCCCAGCUGGUCAAAUCAUGUGGGUGGGGUCCAGCUGGUGAAAUACAGGGGCUUAAAUGAAGAUAUAUGUGAAAUACAAAGAUACAACUUAUGACAACUUUUGAGGUGUCGAGAUUUUAUUGGUUGGAGAACCACCUGUAUAUCCCGGCACCGGCACCGGCACCGGUAAAAAGAGGUUUGCGUCUCCACCUCCACGACACAUCACACCAUGCGCACAAGUGGUGCGUUUUUGCUCAAUAAUCCCCGCCCUAUGUGCCAAAUAGGACCAAGACAAGCAGGAUAUGCGGAUCAGAUGCAAACUGAUCUAUCGUCCACUUAUUUCAAUCGUCUACCGUGGUCACCCACGCACGAAAUUUAUGGGCUUGACUUCAAGGUACCACAGAUAGCCGCUUGUUGUGUGCCUAUGUGCAACCAAAAAUGUUCGCAACAUCGUACUAGAUCGUGGUCUCUCUAAGCGUCCGUCCCGUGUGUGACGGUAGGUACCCCGCAGCGACGCGUGGGCAACUUGGUUUGCGCCGCCGUUUCGUCGCCGUUUGGCUGCCCUAGGCCCGGUUCCCACCUGCCUCCCCCAACGUGAGUGCGGCUAGCCACAGCAGCCGCUUCUUGGGUGGGAUGGGGGCUUUGUUUUGGCCGUGAGUAGUGAGGUUUCGGGUGGAGUAGAGAGAGGGAGCCGCCCAGAUUUGGUCAGGGCCGGCAGUCCGCCGGCGAGAGGAAAGGUGAGAACUUCUCCUACCACCAAAAGCCUUCCCUAGGACCCCGGGGCCCGGGGUCGUAAUACACCCACCCGGAACGGCGUCGGCGUCAAGGAAGGGGAAGGGGAAGGAGGCGGGGGCGGAAGGAGUGGAAGCCCUGCUCAAGAACUUGAGGAUUGCUGAGAAGAAGAAGUGUGUGGUGCUAGGGACGGCAAGCGCAAGGGCGAAGGUAAAUCCAAACCAAGCUAUUGGGAAAGUGUUGUCCAAAAAAGUGACAUAUGCGGAUGGCAUUGCUCAGACUCUAGGAAGGAUUUGGUGCCGAAGGGAGGGUACCUUGUGCAAGGAGCUGGGGAGGAAUUGUUCUUGCUCACUUUCGGCCAGGCGUCGGGGAAGAGGAAAGCGCUCGAAGGGGGGCCAUGGCUAGUGGGCAAAGAUCUGCUGGUGCUGGAGGACUUCAUUGCAAGCAAAACAUUGGCUGAUUAUGAGUUCCGGUACUUCUCGAUUUGGGUUAGGGUGUCAAACAUCCCCCUGGGAAUGAUGAAUAAAGAUACUAGAGAGCUGAUUGGACAAGCAAUGGGGGAAUUCAUGGAAGCGGAGGUAGAUGCAGAGGACAUGGCAAUGGGGGAGUUCAUGAGAAUAAAGGUCAAACUCGAUGUCCAUGAGCCACUCAUGCGUGGUAUUAAAAUUCAAGUGAGCCCUGGAAAUGGGGAUGGGGAGGAGGAGGAAGGGGAUGAGAGUGAGGAGGAAGCGAUGAGGAUCAGGGGGGUGAGCGAAUGGAUGUGGUCGGAAAGAAGGGAAAGAAGAAAAAGUGGUGCCCUUUUGCUUAUGAGUUUUUACCUAAUUUCUGCUACACCUGUGGGAUCAUUGGCCAUACGGAUAAAGAGUGUUCCUAUAAAUUGAAAAGGGGGGAGGUGCAAUUGUACAACAAAGGUUUGAAGGUGAACAUGCUGGUCAGUUCAAGGAGGCUGGGUGGUGAGGAGGACAGAGGACAGUGGAGUGGCGGAAGGGGGGGUUUCUCUGCUAGAAGUAAUAGCUCUGGGGGUAGGGGAAGUUGGACCAGGAGUGACUUGGAGUCAUGGCGAAGGAAGGAGGUUGGGCAGGCCGGGGACAUGAGGAAGAAGAUAGGGGAGGAGAAGGAAGUCACCAGUCCGUUAAAGCUCCCUGACCCGAGAAUGACUAUGAAAAACAACAAAAAGAAGCUUGAGUUCUCGGAUGGGGAGAUGGUGAGUGCUGACCAUACAAAGAAAAGUACAAGAGAGGGUGAGGAGUUCAAGGAAGGAGGGAGGGAGGGAAAGAAGGAUGACAUGGGAGGAGUGGCGCGGGAGAAGGGAGACGUGGGCGUCCUAGGAGAUCCUGCCUCAAAUGAGCGGGGGCUGGAAGUGCAGAGAUAAGUAUAAAAAACAAAAAGGGGAAUAGCAAGAAGGUAGGGGAAGGGACAUAGGAAAAAGGAAGAACACACAGAAGGGUGAACAGAAGCGGCAAGGGAGAGCGGUGUGAAGGGGGAGUACAGAGUUUGGUGGGCACAAAACGAGACCCAACGGUAAUGGAGAUCGAGACUGAACUGGAGGAGGAGAUAAAGGCGAAAAGGCAGAGGGGGUUGGAGAUCAACGUGGAAACGGACAGUAAACUACCAAUAGAAGGGGGGCUGCAGUCACAGCCCUGCAAGAGCCAAUGAAUAUCGUGGCAUGGAAUUGUCGGGGGUUGGGAAACGCCCCGACAGUUCGUGGACUUCUGGACGUCCAGAGGUCCGAGGACCCAAACAUAUUGUUCUUGUCUGAAACAAAGCUCAAGGCAAAGAAAAUGGAGAGAUUUAAGUGGUUGCUCGGACUGCCAUGCAUGGUGGCACGAGAUAGUGAGGGUAAAGGAGGUGGGGUGGCAGUUUUCUGGAGAAGAGGAUUAAAUGUGGAGUUGCGAAAUUUCUCUAGGUUCCAUAUGGACCUGGAGAUCAAGGAAGAGGACGGUUUCAAAUGGAGGUUCACAGGCAUGUAUGGGGAGCCGAGGGCGGAGAAGAAGCAUCUCACGUGGAAGCUGAUGAGGAUCCUUCAUAACCAAGUGUCACUCCCUUGGCUGUGCACGGGAGACUUCAACGAGGUGUUGUUUGCUAACGAGAAGGAGGGCGGGAAUGAAAAAACCCAGGCAUGCAUGGGCAGAUUCAAGGAGGCCUUGGAGGUAUGUGGUUUAGAGGACAUGGGGUUUGAGGGGGACAAGUUUACCUGGCGGAAUAACAACCACCGAUGGGAGAACUACAUCCAGCAAAGAUUGGAUAGGGCGGUCGCAAAUGAGGGAUGGAGGAAGCAGUUUGAGGGGUUCAAGGUAGUGAAUGGUGAUCCUAGACACUCGGACCACAGGCCCAUUGUCAUCACAACAGAGAAAUCUGAGGGGGAGGGAGCAACAAGAGAGGUAGGGAGAGGAGGUGGGAGUCACAAGUUUAAGUUUGAGGCAUGUUGGCUGGAGGAGCAGCAGUGUGAUCAACUAGUGAAGGAGGCAUGAUGUCACACAAUGGCAGAGGGUGGUCGGUGUGUGAGGGAGGGGCUGAAGCAGGUGGCGGGAAGCUUCAGAAUUGGAGUGGAAACGUUUUGGGUGGCUUGGAGAAAAGGCUGAAGAAAGCAAGGAAAGAAGUGGAGAGAUGGAGACGUAUGCCGGUGAGUAAGGAGAAAGUGGCAGGGGAGGAAGUGGCACGGUAUAGAGUGGAGAGGCUGGAGGAGCAACUGAACACCUACUAUAAGCAGCAUGCACACAUGACCUGGUUGAGGAAGGGGGACAGAAACACCUCAUUUUUUCAUGCAAGUGUUAAAGAGCGAAGGAGAACUAAUAGGAUAGGGAAGCUGAGGCGUGAAGAUGGGAGCUGGGCGGUGAAAGAGGAGGAAAAGAAGGAGGUUGUCACUAAAUAUUUUGCGCAGCUGUUCAGGUCAUAGGGCAUAACACAUCAUGAUGAGGUUCUGAAUUCAGUGCAGAGCAGGGUAACGAGGGAGAUGAACUCGGGCCUACUGGCAGAGUUUAGUGCUGAGGAGGUCAAGGCGGAUCUGAGGGACAUUGGGGAUUUAAAGGCGCCAGGGGAGGAUGGUAUGCCAGCCAUUUUGUACAAGCACUACUAGGUGGAUGUGGGUGACAAAAUCACACAGGAAGUGCUAGCUUUUUUAAAUGGGGGGCCUAUGCCAACUGACUGGAACAACACGUCCACACGCUGAUCCCCAAGGUGAAGAAACCGGACUGUAUCAAGAAUCUGAGACCAAUAAGUCUUUGUAAUGUGGUCUAUAAGAUCAUAUCAAAGAUUCUCUCAAAGAGGUUGAAAGUGAUAUUGCCCGAGAUCAUCUCUUCGACUCAGAGUGCCUUUGUGCCGGGUAGGCUCCUAACUGACAAUGUACUGCUCGCUUAUGAGGUCAUGCACUAUAUGCGCAACAAAAGAAGUGGGAAGGAGGCCUAUGCCGCGGUGAAAUUGGAUAUGAGCAAGGCAUAUGACCGGGUUGAAUGGCAUUUCUUGGAAGCUAUGAUGGUCAAAAUGGGUUUCCACCGAAGGUUUAUGGAGCUGAUUAUGAAGUGUGUGAGGACAGUAAAGUAUCACAUCAAGAUUAAUGGUGAUCUCACCGAGGAAGUGUUACCUGAGAGGGGGCUGAGACAGGGGGACCCGCUGUCCCCUUAUCUCUUUUUGUUAUGCGCGGAAGCCUUUUCGUGUCUACUAACAAAAGCUGAGCAGAACAACUUGAUCCAGGGGAUUAAGGUGUGCCCGAAUGCCCCUAGCAUUUCUCUGCUGUUUGCCGAUGAUUCCCUCAUCCUUUUCAAGGCAAAUAAAGAGAGUGCGGAGCAGAUCCAACGUAUUUUGCAGGUUUAUGAGGCAAGCACGGGCCAAACCAUAAACAAAGAUAAAUCUGCCGCUUUCUUUAGUGCCAAUGUGCAGGCAAAGGAUAAGAAGGAUGUGAUGUGCAUUCUGGGGAUUGAGAAGGAGGCACUAAAUGAAAGAUAUCUGGGCAUGCCAAUUCAUGUGGGCAAAUCAAGAACCAAGACUUUCAGGCACAUAAUUGAGAGGAUUCUGCAAAGAAUUAGUGGAUGGCAGGAGAAGCUGCUCUCUCGGAUGGGAAAAGAACUCCUGAUUAAGGCAGUGGCGUAGGCGAUACCCACGUUUACUAUGUCAUGUUUUGACUUGACGAAGACCAUCUGUGAGGAAAUCAGCACCUUGGUGUGUAAAUACUGGUGGAGCCAGCGGGAUAAAUCCAACAAGAUUCAUUGGCUGAGUUGGGAGAAGAUGGUAAAGCCAAAGAGUGGGGGGGCCUGGGGUUCCGCGACAUCCACAGCUUCAACAUGGCUAUGCUCGCGAGACAAGGAUGGAGAAUGUUGCAACGGCCAGAGUCUUUAUGCGCACCGGUCUUGGGGGCUAAAUAUUUCCCCGAUGGGAAUCUGUUGAGUGUGGAGGAAACGAACAAUAUGUCCUACACCUGGAGGAGUAUUUUGCAAGGAAUCAAAAUCCUGAAGAAGGGGCUCAUUUGGCGAGUUGGCGAUGGACAGUCAAUCAAUAUGUGGAAGGACCCAUGGAUACCUAGGGGAACAACUAGGCGGCCGUCUACACCAAGGGGCACAAACAUUAUGUCAAAGGUCGGAGAGCUUAUCAACCCGGCUACUGGGUCAUGGGAUGAAGAACUGGUUCGGGCCACUUUCAAUGAAGAAGAUACCUCCUGGAUAUUGGCAAUCCCCGCAAAUUGUGAGCUGGAAGAUCUGCCGGCCUGGCACUUUGAAAGAAGGGGCAAGUUCUUUGUUAAAUCUGCAUAUUGGGUGCAUAUGCAUGAUAAAAACAUGGAGGGGCUGAGAGGUGUUGCUUCGAGGGCUGAGGAAGCGAACAAAGUGUCCCCUUGGAAGAAGAUCUGGCGGAUGACGGUCCCAGGUAAAAUAAAACAUUUUAUGUGGACGUUGGCUCACAACUCGAUGGCUGUUUGCAUGAACCUGCGAAGAAGAGGGCUGGAUAUCUCCAUGCGGUGCCCUGUUUGCCAAGCCAAUGGGGAGGACGGAGGCCAUCUGCUCUUCAAAUGCAAACAAGUUAAGGAGAUCUGGAGGCUGUGCGGGCUGGAGGAGGAGAGACUGCUGCUUAUGGAUCAGAGCACAGCUUUAACAAUGAUGGAUAAAUUGACAACUCUUGCUGGGGAGAAGCAAGCCAUUAUUGCCACUCUCAUGUGGAACUGGUGGUGUGAGCACAAUAACCGCAGAGGAGGAAAAGGAAGACGAAUCGAAGAGCUUGCUUGGAUUAUUGAGCAUCACACGAACGAGUUUCGAGACAUCCAACUGGAACCAACAAAUUAUGGGCUGACUCCACAGCAGCGAUGGAAACCACCGCCGGCUGAGUGGAUUAAAAUUAACAUUGAUGGCUCUUUCAAACCAAAAGACUGCAAUGGAGGCUGGGGGGCUAUGUUCAGGGAUCAUGUGGGUGAGGCGAUGGAGUGUGCUGCUGGCUUCCUGCCAAACUUGCUGAACCCGUUACAUUCCGAGAUGCUAGCUGCUAAAGCUGCUCUUCACUUGGCGUCAGACUUGGGAAUGGGCAGAGUCUACUUGGAAACUAAUGCUCUGCUGCUGAAGGAAGCGUUGGAUGAUACUAGUGUUGAUCUCUCUUGCCUAGGUGUUGUAGCUGACCGCUUAAAAGCUUUUAUUGUGUGUAAUUUCAUUGAGUGUAAGAUUGUGCACUGCUCUAGAACCUGUAAUCAAGUAGCGCACACCCUUGCGACGAAGGGCUCGUUGAUGGCCGGGGUGCCAAACAGUGUAACUGAUGGGUCUGACCCAUGUGUAUCAGCUUUAGUGGCGAGCGAUUUGGCUUCGCUCACUGUUUAAUGCAAAUUGCAUUGAAUCUCAAAAAAAAAUGUUCGCAACAAUAGGUUCAGAUGACGUGGGAGUCAAACUUGGGUAAAUUCAUACAAGUUGUGGAAACAGAAUAUGAAGAAAUCAUACAUGAGAUGCCCAAAGGGAACAAUUUGUGAUCUCUUUCUUUAGCAACAAAUCAAACCACCGAUACAAAUGAGAUUCGCUCAACAAAUCCCACGACAUGCUCAAAACGCUACGGCGUAAAUUUCGUCCACUGCUACAAGCAAGUCAUGGAUCCGAGUACCCAUUUCUGCUUGUGUUCAAAAGGCACAAUGAAGGCAAUAAUAAAUACUGAAAAGAAAAGAACCGGCAAAAUUGCAGCCUAUUAGUAGCACUUGGGGCUGAUCAG
rnacentral:lncRNA from 1 species